AAUAAUCUGCAUAAACUCUAAAAAAAAACCUAAAUGAUAAUCAAUCAUUUAACAUAAAACCUAAAGAAAAACCUAAUCACUCCCCUUUCUCUCUUGCGCCGUUUCGGGCCUCUAUCCUCCAUCUGACUCCAAUUGCGAUGGAGCAGAAGGAAGAUCGGCCACUAGGUACGUUCCUCACUCUUCUCUCUCCCUUUUCUAUAUUUCUCUUCUUCGUAUAAAAAAGAACAAAAGAAAAUAGUAAGAAAUGCAGAAAAAAAUGGCGAAUCACCUUUUCGAAUCUGCUUUUGUUUUCUUUGAAUAUUUUUUCUUUUGUAUUCAAUCUCUGUGUAUUGAUAUUGUGUAAAAAAUACAAAAGGCUCUCUCUUUCUCUUAUAGCCGAAAUCAAUGAAAUAACCCCCGAAUCUUUUUUACAUUUUUCUUAUUUUCCUAUUUUCUCUGAUUUGUUGUCGAUUUCCACUCUUUUUGUUUGCUUUUUCUGCUUUGUUGCGUUUGUUUGUCCUUUUUGCAGGUACGACGCAUGGAGGGUGGACGUGGUACGUACGGAGGCGCGCGUGAGGCCGAGGGAAUGCCCUGGUGGUUGCGGCGGUGGAGGCUCGCCCUUGCUGCUAAGGUUUCUGGUUCCUUUUCUGUUUUGAGCUUCAAUGUAAUUGGGCCGGGGUAUCGGGCUACUAUAAUUGGGCCAUUCGAGUUUAAGUUUGAUUCUAGUCUGUAAUUUUGGACAUUUGGGCCUUUAUUUUAUUUGGUAUUUAUUUGUGUACGGGCCGGGCAAUAUUGGGUCAUUACAAUACGUAUUAGAAAAGGUAGCAUUUUUCAAAAAAUGUUGCUAUGAUUAAAAAUGAUUGUAACAUCUAAUAACAUUCAAAACGAUCAAGUUAGGAGAGCCUGGCAUUUGCACUAAAUAGGUAGAGUUAUCUAUAGACAUCUUUGACGAGAACAGAAUAUGUUUUGGAUUCUUUUCCAAUGAAAUACGAUCAGGAUUGGAGGGAAAUAUGAUCAGGAUUCCUUCAAAUACCUAGAAAAGUGGAGGGAAAUUUAGAAAAAUAUGUCAAUUUUAUUUUUAAAAAAUAUUUAGGGUUUUUUGUUUUCAAAUUUUAAAAAAUAAGUCGAUUUGAGAGAGUUGAGUGACACGCGGUAAAAGUGCGCCUGCAAUUGAUUUAUUUUGAAAGUUAUAUAUAUAUUAACUGUUGGAUAAUUAUAUUAACCGUUGGAUUGCCAUCUCUCAACUCAACAGUAAGUUUUUCUAUAUAUAUCUCUUUUACACUUUCAUUUUUUUCAUUUAAUCCUUUCUAAAUCUCAAUUCUUUUAUUCUUAAUUUUCUAUUCUAAACUUUCUAAUUUCUCUCAAAUUCUUUUUCUCUCAAUUUUCUAUCUGAAUUUUUGUAAUUUUUUAGAUUUUAUUCGAUUUUCAUCAUUUUAAAGAUUUUAAAAAUGUCAAUGCCUCUAAUUUGUUUGGAUCACAAACACAUUUGGGUGUCCAAAGAAAUAUUAUUAUAUAUAUUAUUUUAAUUAAUAUCAUUAUUAAGUUGUUAAUAUUAUUAUUUUUUAAUUUUUUAUGUUUAUAUAAUUAGGACAACGAUUGGAUUAUUGAAAUAUAUAUACACAAUUUAAGUGCGAGAGCACUACAUGUCAUUGAAGAGUAUUUGGAAGAGGCGAGAUUCUUAUAUGUGUCCCGUAUGCUCAGUGGGACUAAAUUGGAGCCUGCACUUAUCAGUGCUUUGUUAGAAAGAUAGAGACCUAAGACACACAGAUUCCAUCUUCUGUGCUGUGAGUGUACGAUUACAUUCGAUGCUGUGGCAUUACAAUUCAGUCUACUAGAUGAUGAUCCCGUCAUUAUGAGGUAGUGUGCAUUGGUGAUUGGAGUGCAAGUUAUCACCGACUAUUAGGCAAUGUGCCAUACAAGUUUAGUGGUAAUCGAAUAGAUAUUAAAUGGCUAAAAGAUAAUUUUUCAUGUCUCGACAACUUUUCUAGUGCAGUUGAAAGACAACAAUUUACUCGAACAAUCAUACUGAGGUUAAUUGAGGGUCUUCUAAUACUAGAGAAAUCUCGAAAUCUGAUACAUCUAAGGUGACUCCUACAACUAAUCAACCUAAAAGAAGUCAAAUGACUCAGUUGGGGAUCAACCGUCACCCUCUCUCUUGCCACAUCACCAAAGCUUCCUCCUCUCUCUUGCCAUGUCACCUGAAAACACUUCGUGCAGGGAGUGUUUUUGUCACAUGUUUCGAAAUCGACCUAUUUCUCUAAAUUUCAAACAAAAUAACCUAUAAUCCUUCCCAUUUGUCCCAAAAUCAGUCUAUUAUCCUAAAUUUCAAAUAAAAUAGUCUAAAACCCUAAAUGUUUUCUUAAAAUUGCGAGGAGGAAUUGAAAAAGUGAACAAAAAAAUGAGUGUGUUUAGCAAAGAAGGAAAGUGAGAGAAAAGAAAGUAAGAGAGUUAAUGAAAAUGUAAUAAUGAGAGGCAUAAAAAUAAGUGGGGCUUGGUUAAGGGGAAACUUGUUUCCUCCUUUUUCAAGUUAAUGCGUCAACCAGUAUUUAAAGCUAAAGCCAAGCGGGUCUCAUUUAGUAUAUAUUAUAUGAAGAAAUUGUAAGUUUGCGUAAGCUGAUUGUUUUUCUUCUUGCUUGUGUUGUCGCUUGAGUUUCAGUUAGCUGAGUGAGAAAAUAGUUUACCAUUCACCCGCAAUUACGUUAUUUAACACAGGUAUAGAGGACCCUUUGUCAUCAAUAAUCGAUGGUUGCAUGCAUUCAAUCGCUUAAAGUUUAAGAUAGAUGCUCAUGGAACAUUGGUCUUUCACAGAUAUUUGAUCUACCUAGCUAAUUAAUAUAUAUAUUCAAAAGACAAUAAACUACCGAACUCCUAAUGUGUGCUCUUUACAACUCAACAUUACCUAUUUCAGAUUGUGAUACGUCCUCAGCUUCAAGGGAUAUAGUCUUUGGUACCAAAAACCCUACUCAUCAUAUUGCAGUUUGCCAGAAUGACUGAGAGGCCUACACCUUGUCCCCGAUAGAAUCUUUUUCUUGCAAAGUUCUGAUUGUUCCUCGCCUUCCAUCGUCUUCAUCGCUGUUGUAUAUCGAAACCUAGGCAAGUCAUUGGAAUCCUCUGUUUCAACCUCAUUGUGGGCUUCCCCUUCGUCCAGUUCCAUGUCUAUCAUUUUGCUUCUGUAUAUCGGCUGUGAGUUUGGACACUCAUUGACACUGGGUUCCGCCUUUUCUCCAUUUUCAGACCCCGUUGCAGCAGCAGCCAUCGUCUUCAUCGACUUAAACGUUCGAUGGCUGGUCGCUGUUCUAUAUCGAAACCUAGUCAAGUCAUUGGAAUCCUCUGUUUCAACCACAUUGUGGACUUUCCCUUUGUCCAGUUCCAUGUCUAUCCUUUUGCUUCUGUAUGUCCGCCGUGAGUUUGGCCACUCAUUGACUCUGGGUUUCGCCUUUUCUCCAUUUUCAGACCCUGUUGCAGCAGCAGCCAUUGGUUGAACCCCAUCAUUCAACUUGCACUCUUCAUUGAUUUUCACUUCGGUUUUCUUAGAUCCCACGUCGAGGUUUUCAAUCAUAAUCUUCAACUUCUUCAUCUCCUCCUUAAUUUCAUCCUUGGAAUUCUUCUUCUCCAAGGCAUUAGCAAACAUGGACCCAACUUUUUUCACCAAACUCUUUUUCGAUUUAACCAAAGGUUUCUUGUGGUUAUCGCCGCCAUUUUCAUCAAUUUCUCCUGGAGAUUGAUUUUUUCUUUUCAUAGCCUUAGCCAACACUGCCGGAAUCUUGAUUCUUAUGGUAACAUAUGAGGGAUUAUUUGAUAGACCCGAAACUCCAUCUUUUUCAUGAAUUUUUCCUGACAUUUUUUGUUUUGGCUAUCGAGUGAAGAUGAUCAUCGAGAGCCAUGUUUUUAGCUAUCGGGGAUAUCAAUUUAAGCAGUAAUUAGAGAAGGAAAAGACUUUGAGUUGCAUGAGAAGUACGACAAACGAAGGAAACAUGAUGACUCUGAAAAGAGUUUAUUUCCUACGUAACCUCAAACGUUACAAAGAUAGCUUAUAAUAAUAUUUAUUAAUUGCCCUACAAGCAAACGGCGGAGCCUCCAGGGUUCAUAGCCCCAAGGUUUAAAAAGUCAUUUGUAAUAAAAAUAAAUGGAAAAUUUUAUAGGAGAAGAUGAAUUAUUUUAUUAUAACUUUGAAUGAUAUUUUUGUUAAAUAAUAAUUUAAUAUUUAUUUAAUAUUUUAUUUAAAAUAAUUUAUUAUAAUAUAUAAAAUGAAAUGAAAAGAAGACAUAUUUGUAUUUUCUUUUUCUUCAUAUUGCCUAGCAAGAAAGGAGGAAAAAAAAAUAUUUUCUUAUCAUUUUUCCUCCAAAUUUUAAAUUUUAAGUAUAAGGUAUGUUUUUCUUUAAAUUUUUUUAUAAAUUUUGAAUCUUUGAAGCUUGUUUUACAUAUAUGUACCAAUAAAUUUUUUUAUCAAGUGUAUUAAAAGUUGCCAUUAAAGGAUAUUGAUGGAAGCUUAUAAAAUUAAGUAAAAUGUGUAUGUUUUUGGAUGGAAAAUAAUUAAGAUACAGUUUCUAACUUAUUAGAAGUGUAAAAACGAAACAAAAAUAGCAAAAUAAUGAUAUAAGUUUUGGCCAAAUUGAAGGAGAAGAAGAAAACCUUGGCCACUUUAUCUAAAAUUAUGUCAAAUGAUAGCUUGUAAAGUUCACCGAGUCGAAAGUUAUGUGAAUUUCAGAUCAGGAAACUGUGAAAAAUAUACUUGAUUUUGGAUGAUCAAAUUUGGUUGAUUUUGGAUGAUCAUGAACUGGUCAAAUUUGGAUUGAAUCGAUUAUUAUGUUGAAAUAUUACUUAUUCUAAAUUAAUUAUUUUUAUGUUUAGAUCGAUUGUUAGGUCGGAAUGCUGCUUAUUUUGAUAGAUUGUUUAUAUGUUUAAAUCGAUUGUUAUGGUGGAAUACUGCUUCUUUUGAAUUGAUUGUGUAUAUGUUUAGAUGGAUUGUUAUAUUGGAAUACUGGUUGUUUUGAAUUGAUAAUUUAUAUGUUUAAAUCCAUUGUUACGUAGCACGCCAAAUUUUAACUUGUCCUCCAAAAUUGACACUCUGGCGUUGUAUUAAAAUUUUUUAUUUUCACUUCUCCCAACCAGACAUUAAUUAAGCUUACACCAUUAAACUUACAUUAUAUGAAGUUAAAAAGCAUUAGUAUUGACUCAAUCCUAUAAUUAUGUUUCAUACAUAACAUUCAAUAUACAGAAAGUUUGAUCUUGUAAAAAGAAUAUAUAUAUAUAUAUAUAUAUAAUGAGUUGGUUCUACAGGAUAGGUAAUUCCAGCAAACUAGGAUACGUGAUUGAUUUUUUAAAAUUAAUGCAUUUCUAUAAAAACAAUAUUUAAACUAGAAAAGAUGGAGACCAGCCUGCAACUUUAAAAUGGAUAUAUAUUGGAGAGAGCUAUAAUAUGGAUUUUUUAGGGUAUAUCAUAUUGUAUUAUAUAUAUAUAAUAGGAGCAGGUUAAAUUUAGAAGCAUUUGAUUGUAGUUGGAACACAGGUUGUCUUGAUUCUCUGAUAAACAAAUAAAUCAAAUUUCUCUUAUACUUUCACUUCCAGCACCAGCAGCAGUAUUUUGGAGCUUUGCAACUAUGUAGGAAUCCAUUUAUGAAGUCAGUAGAAACUAUGAAAAGGAAACAUUGAUUUUGAAUAAACUCAAAUAACUUAUAAUCAUAAAUAUUUGAUUUUUUUGCUAAAUCUUAAAUUUAUUGGGCAAUAAUUAUUUUUUAAUUACUUUUAAAAAGGUUAAAAAGUAAGUAACCAACAAUUGGUUGGAUGCAAUAGCAAAACACAUUGUACUCUCAAGGGGAAGACCCGGAUUCAAAAUGAGAAAACCCACAAGAUCUAUAACAAUUGGGGUUAAAAAUGAUAACUUGAUCCAUCAUCCAUGCCCAAAAUUGCAAUUAUGCAACCACUUAAAUAAUUGAUCUCAUUUAUUGACACACAACACAUCUCUAGAUAUGAGAACACUAAUUGUAUUAUUCCCAACUGUAAAUCCUACAAUUGCAUAUCCCCAAUUGUAUUAUUUUCUAGCUUCCUCCAAAUCAACUACUAAUGGAGAUGCUAAACAUACACCAAAUUUUAGGAUUUAUUUGGCACUAAUAGUCCUCCAAUCAAUCACAAAAUAUGGGCUUAGGCCACAAAUCUUGGGGAGUUAAAUUUGGACAUUGUCUUCGGACAACAGCAUUUUCACACAACCUCUUAAUGAAUUUUUUAUCAAGUACAUUAUCAACGAAAAUUUGGCACAUCCCAUCAAUCAUGUCAAGGGUAUCAUUCACGAUCAUUAGCGUGCCUUCUCUCCAUAUAGGCAUGCUAAUUUUGCAAAUCUCCAAGUGUAUUUCUUAACUUCCAUGAAAUUAGUUAUUAAUAGAGAUACUACACAUGUAUCAAAUUGUCAUAUUUAUCUAACAUUAACAGCCCUCUAAAUAUGAGCUCUGGCUAGGGGUGUUCAUUCGGUUAACCGAUCGGUUAACCGACUCGAAAUAAUAUUAACCGAAUUAACCGACCUUUCAAAAUCUUUAACCGUUAACCGAACCGAAUUUUUUUUCAAAAAAAAUUAACCGAAUCGAAAUUUUUUCGGUUAAUUUGGUCGGUUAACCGAAUUAACCGAAAAUUAUAUGUUUUUUAUUUUUUGUUAAAAAUUAACCGAAUUAACCGAAUUACCCGAAUUAACCGAAUUACCCGAAUUAACUAAUUUGAAUCACUACAUAAUUAAAUUAUUUUUAGACUUUUAGACUUUAGUUUUAGUCUUAGUUUUAAAAUUUUAUUUUUAUUUAUUAAAUUAUUUGUAGUUUAAUUUUAUGAUUGGGUUGAGUUGGGUAAUUGGGUUGGGUUGAAUACUUGGGUUUAGAUUGGGUUUAGGUGAAUAGUGGGCUUAUUUAUAUAUAUUAUAAUUUUAUUUAUUAAUUUUUUCGAUUUCGAACCGAAUUAACCGUUAACCGAAAAAUAAAAAAAUAAUUAACCGACCCCCGACCGAAAAAAUUCGAUUAACCGACCGAUUAACCAAAUUCGGUCGGUUAACCGAAUUUUUUCGGUUUUAUCCGAAUUUUGCACAACCCUAGCUCUGGCUAUGAAUAUAUAACUUCAUGCAGAGUUGAAUUAUCAUCGGUUUGAACAUUGUCUUUUGACAACAUUAUUUUCACAUACAACCCUUUAAUGGAUUUUUUACCGGGUACCUUGCCAAUGUAUGUUUGGUAUACAUGUCAAGAGUAUUUAUUAACUUUGAUGUCUCAACCUUUUGAUAUAACAAUAUUUAAGAUAAAUUUUAUCACUAAAUCAUUUAGAGAUUAAACCUUUCCAAAACUUGAAAAAUACUAAAAAAAAACAUGUUUUACACCAUCUUUGUCUAAAACAGUCCGAACAGCUGCUGGUGGUUUAAGCAAGUAAAAUUCGGCUCCUCUUUGAACAACGCUAUCCAAAAUAUCAGCAACUCUAUUCGCCUUUCUAUACACAUGUUUGAACAAUACUUCCCAUUGUCUUUUACAAAGUUCCGUAAUGUCUCUAACUAACCGUAAGUCCUCUCCACCAUUGACAAGCAUUCAAAUUGCAGUCGCAUUUCACAUUCAACCUGCACCUUGCGGAAACCCAUGUCCCAGGCCACAAGUAGCCUGCUCAUAAUACCCGACAGCUCGAUCGGCAGUUAGUACAGAGCAGACACCAAUGGGUCGACUGUAGCCAACUAUCCAGGUACCACGACGGUCCCUUAGCAAGCCACCUGCAUUUGCCUUUUCUUCAGCACCUUUAACCGCUUCGUCACAAUUUAUCGUGAUCCACCCAGCUGGUGGGGGUUACCAUGAUCAAAUUAAACUUUUGAUGUAGCUGAUAUUAGAUAUGUUAGCUAAUUAAUAUUCUCUCUAUGUUUAUAGCUAAAAUUACGAGGAAAACCGUAGAUUUUGAUUCUCUAUUAAAAAAAUAGAUAAAUUAAACUUUAUAUAUUUUGAAAUCUGUAAAUUAGACACACGAUUCAAUUUUAUCUAUUAAAUAAUGAUGUGGAAUAUUAAUCUAAAUGGUUAAUUGCUAAUUUGAUUCCUAAACUAUAGUUAGAAUAUCAUUUUGAUUUUUUAAAAUUUUUCUUAACAAUAAUUCUAAAAAAUUUUAAAAAACUUAAAAAUAUAAAAAAUUAUUUAAAAUGCAUUAAAAAAAUUAAAAAUUAUGUUAAAACAAAAUCAAACCCAGAUUUAUUAAAGCCAAAACUUAUAUUCAAAGAAAUUCAUUUUUAGUGAACCAUGGCGUUUUUAUUUUUUGAAAUAUUGAGCUCUCUUCCAAUAAUGGGAAAUAUUUCUAUUUUCAAUAAAAUUCUCGAUUUGAUGAGAAUUAUUUAAUGCAAUGAGACAUUAACCUUACUUGCUAAAGAUGCUCUCCAAUGAGACACUAACAUUAUUUGUUGAGGACGCUCUCCAGUGAAAUUCUAAAAGUACUAAUUUCAAUAAAAUCAUGGUUUUAUCACUGUUGAAAUACAAUCAAACCAAAAAAAAUUUUCAAAUCAAACACAUUUAUGGUAAUAAAAAAAUUUCAAUUUUGUAUCUCUCUUUGGUAACCAAGAAGAAGAUGAAGACAAUAAGUUCCUUUUGCUACUUCUCCACCUUUAGAGUAGGAGUGGGUAAAAUUUGAUUCGAUUUAAAAAAGUAAAAUAAAAAUUCGAAUUUUGAGUUAAUUGAAUCGAGUUAUUAUAGUAAACUUGAAUAAGUAAUUCGAGUUUGAGUCGAUUUAAAUUUUAAAAAUUCAAAUACUCCUUUGGUGUAAAUACUCUUUGGUCCCUGACAAUUUUAAAAAUGAGCAAAUUAGUCUCUAUCAAUAAAAACUACAAAAAAAAAAUCAAAAUAAUUUUUAAAAUUUUAAAUAUUUAUAAAAAUUCUAAAAUUUAUAUUUUAAAAAAAUUAUAAAAACUAAAAACAAGGAAAGUUAAAAUUUUAAUUUUUUUUCUAAAAUAUUAAUUUUGGGACCUAAAUAAGUUAAUUAUUUAUUAAAGAAAAUGGGUUUUAUUGAUGUGAUAAAAAGGGAAAAUAUAAAACCAUUUAUUUCAUUCCUUUCUUGCUAAAGUCCUCUACUUUUUUGCAAAGUGAUCUUCAAGAAUAAUUGUUGUAAGCUAUUGUAAGAUGAUUUAGCAAUUAAUUGGAGCAAUAAGUUUUGAGGACAAUUAGUGAAUAGAAAUGUGAUGGCCCAAAAAUAAUUAAAUAAGAUCAUACAUAUUAGAGGGACCCUCUGACAUGGCUAUGUAAAUAUAUUUAUUUUUUAAAAAUUUAAUUGAUAACACAAUUUUAAAUUUAACAAAAAUACAUUAGGAAUUGGAUUUUUAAGUUUAAUUUCAUCAAGAGUACCCUAAUUUAAAUAAAUUUAUAUUAAUUAUCUGUAUAAGAUUUUAUUUAUUUACACGUUAUUUCCAUUUUUACUUUUGUAAUUAAUAAUUACUUAUUUUUAUUAUUGAAAAUAUUUAUUUUAUUUUUGGGAAUUUAGAUUAUAUUUAUGAUAGAUGUAAAGGGCAUACCUCGGCGAUGCGGUAACGGAGUAGUGCAGGCCAUAAUUGUUUACAAAAAAAGAAAUUUACCAACGUUCAUAUUUCCAUUUAAUUUUAUUACUAAAAAGGAAAUUACUACACGUAAAAAAGUAAUUAAAAAAAAUUUAUCUGUUUAUAUCAUUAUCAGACAACGAAACGCGCUACACCUGAAAAUUAUUAUCAGACAUUGCAAAAUCCAAAAACAAAUACACAAUUUUCUUUGUUUUCAGUUUUGUCUUCCUCUUCCCAGGUAAUUAUUCUUUUUCUUUGUUGUGAGUAUUUGAAUGCUUGUUUUGGGUUUUAAUUCUGAUGGAAAACAGGGUUGUUUAGAUUUUUAUGGGUGCUUUCUUUUUGAUAAAUUGGAUGAAUUUUGCUUGAUUUUAUGCUCCUGGAAUCCUGAUUUCAAUGGUAAAAGUACUGUCGUUUUUUGCUUUUUUCUCGAGAAAAAAGUUUAAUCUAUAGGAAAUGCUGACGGUAAAAUUUUUUUGUUCUGUUUUUGGGUAAAUUUUGAAUAAUUUUGUCAAUUGGAGCUUUAGUAUAUUUGAUUUUGUGAUCUGGGUUGUUGCGGUUGUUUAUGUUAUGUAUGGUGAUACAGAUCGAUGAUGAUAAAGAAUAUAUAAAACUGGUUGUCUUUGUUUAAAUUUUUUUUUUUGGUACAGCAAUAGAUGGUAAGGGGAGGGAAGGUUGGUCAAAGAAGCAAUUUUAAAAGAAGGGUCAGAUCAAAAGAUGAGGGUUCGGAUGAUUCAGAGGAAGAUUAUGUAGUUUCACUGGAGGGAAAUGAUGAAUCUGAGGACGAUGUGGAAGAUUAUUGUUCUUCCUUAGAUGAGUGUGCAUCGGAAGAGGGUUUUGGGAGUUUCAUUGAUGACGAGGAUGAUGAUGAGGAAGAUAAAGAGGUGAGGAAGGUUGUUAGGCCGAAAGCUAAACUGAUGUCUUCAGCAAGGACGAGGAAGAUUGUGGAUAGAAAAUCACAAAAGCGGAAAGUUGUAUCCGAUGAAGAAGAUGACGAUGAGGAUUAUGAGAUAGAGGAGGAGGAGGAGCAAGAAGAGGAAGAUGAUGAUGAUUUGGAAUUCACCCUGGAUGAAGAAGAUUGUUUGGAUGAGGAAGAGGAGUUGACUAUGACAAAGAAGAAGAAAAACAAUAAGAAGGUUAGUAAGCAAGGUUUGCGGAAAAGGGUUCCUUCCAACCAUGGGAAAAAGAGGAGAAAAUCUGCUGUUUCUAAGAAGCCUUUGAGAAAAGGAGGAAAUAAGAAAUGUCGGUUAAAAAGGAAAAGGAGAAUUGAGGAGGAAGAAGAAGAAGAAGAUGAUGAUUGUGGUUUCAUAGACAAAGCUCCAACUGUGAGAAAAAAGAGCAGAAAAAAUGGAGGACUGAGGAAGAAAGCAUAUGUUAUAUGUUCAGAUUCAGAUUUUGUUUCGUCUGGAUCAUCUGAUUAUGAGUAUACAAUCUCAGAGGAAGAGAGGGAACAGGUGAAAGAAGCCAGCCAAUUGUGUGGAAGCAUAAAAACUAGUUUGAGGAGCUCAUCAUCCUCAAAGAGAAUUCAGGAGGUUGAGGAGUUAGGCCAGUGUAAGAAACCUCCAGGAAAAAAGGGUAAGGAGAAGGUAGAGGAAACAAAGGCUGAAGUAAUAAAGUCGGUCUGUGGCAUUUGUCUCUCCGGGGAAGAUAAGCGAAGAUUGAGAGGCAAGCUAAACUGUUGCAGUCAUUAUUUUUGUUUCACCUGCAUUAUGGAGUGGUCAAAAGUAGAAUCUCGAUGCCCUUUGUGCAAGCAAAGGUUUGAAACAAUCAGUAAGCCUGCAAGAUCAACAGCAGGAGUUGAUUUGAGAGAUGUGGUGAUUCAAGUCCCUAAACGGGAUCAGGUAUCUUAUAUUUGUCCUGACAAUAUUUUUAUGUUGUGAUUUUCAUUUUCUGUACUUUUUAUGGUUUUAAAUGGUCAUAUUUGUUUUGUGCAGGUCUACCAACCAUCUGAGGAAGAACUAAGAAACUAUCUUGAUCCAUAUGAGAAUGUGAUUUGUUCUGAAUGCAACCAAGGAGGGGAUGAUGAACUCAUGUUACUGUGUGAUCUUUGUGAUUCAUCAGCUCACACCUAUUGUGUUGGUCUCGGGCGGGAAGUACCUGAAGGAAAUUGGUACUGUGAUGGUUGCAGGCCCGUUGCCCUUGGGUCCUCUAGUUCCCAAGUUCAAGAUCCCUUACCUGAUCAAAGGACAAUAAACAAUUUGUACAAUCGAUUCCCACCCAUUGUAAAUGUAGGAGAAAGUUUAGACUCUAUUGUAGUGCCUUCACCUCAUACGCCAUUACCUCCCGGAUUUGUUGGUCUUUCAUCUCCUAGAUUUCCUAUUGCAGAUUUUCCAUCUGUUUCUCCAGUAUCUGGAGUGGCAGCUCAAACUCUGACAGGAAGACGAUGGUUACACCGCCAGAUUCAAAAUCUUCGUUCCAUGAACAGGAUGAGUCUUAUGGUUGGUAGGACUGAUGGGAUAUCAACUGCCAAUAUGGGCAUUGAUUUUGUGAACUCUCACGUUGAUCAGAGUAGGCAAACAACAAUUCAACAAGCAAGGACACAACAAAUGGGAACUCAGCAUCAAACAGUAAUCACAGAGGGGUUACACAAUGAUCCCUCUUCUUCACUGCAAAGUAGGGACUUCUUUUCACCGAGGUUGGGCCAUUUGAGAAGGCAAGCAGUUCAGGAUUCAACUACCACAACAUUAAACACGUCUGUUAAUUUGAUGUUAUGGCCUGAGCUUGCUGGUAUCAAUUCAGAUGCUCAACUCUAUCAGUGCCGCAAUGGACCAAAUAUUGGGCCUGAUGUUUUUGGUUCAGCAUUUUCCGUCAGAAAUGAGGAUAAUUCUUCCAUGGCCAAGGAACAAUUGCAAGUAAUGGUUAGAAGCCAGUUGAAAGCCUUGUCCAGAGAUAGUGAUUUGGGUAAGUGAAACCCCAUCUUUAAUAAACUUUAUGCAGGGUAUAUUUUCAUGUCUAGACUUUGUCAUCCGCAGUUCAGUUUGGUUUUUUGGUGACAUUAAUGUUAGUGAAUGAUUUGUAGUAGUGAUUAAUUGAGUUCUACCUUGUGUUCUUUAUUUAUAAAUAUAUGCAGACAAUGGUACUUUUAUGGACAUAGCAACAAGUUCCAUGCACACCUUAUUGGCUGCUUGUGGGCUUGAGCAUAGGAGGAGCGAGGUUCACAUGGUACCACCACCAUCAAAUUGUACACACAUUGAAAGAGUGGCAGCCGGUCAGGCGAGCUUAAUGAAAGGUUGUUGCUUAACUUGUUUCGAUUCUUUUGUAAAAGAUGUAGUGAAGAGGAUCAUGGAUACAAGAUCCAGGCAGUGGUUAAGUUUAGGUUUUUAGAUAUUUGAUGUAGUUAAUGCAUCUUUCUGCAUACUUCUUUCUUUUUCUUUUUUUGGUUAGGAUUUAGUAACCAAUUUUUUUCAACACCUUAUUUUUCCCCCUUAUGUUGGUUUAUACUUGCAAUUCACAGACAUUGAGCCUGCAAAGAGUGCUCUAUUCUCAUUUGAUCACCAUAAUAGAUAAUUGUUAAUUAAAGACUUGAGCAAUGUCAAAAUUUUAGCACUGAACUUUCUUUUCACCGUGUUCCCCUGUUUUGUCCUUUUGGUUUUGCUUUCAACUUUGUGCUUGGAACUAUCAAAAGCUUCAAUAACCAAUAGAGAGAUUGCUUGUAUGUAUUGAAUUAAAUCAUUGACUUUUAUAUUUAGGUACACCUUGGAUCCGUUUUUAAUAUCAUACCUAGAUUCGGAUUUCGGACUCAUUAAACAACUAUAAUUUUAUUUUAUUAUUUAUACUUUCAGUUUUCACGAAAUUAUACUUUAGAGCAUGGUCCAAUCAUCACAAAAUCUUACCUUGUUAGGAUGACCUCUACACUCAUGGAUAUCAAGUUCAAGCUAGUUAAUUUUGAUUGGAGCAUUUAUUUGUCUAUUGAACUAAUCAACUCCUUUAAUACAAGGAACUCAUCACUUACUUUCAUAUAAAUCUCUCAUUCUUUCCUCUUAUAUUCACACAUGUAUGUCAUGUUAGUAAAGUUAACAAAUGUUAAACUUUUUUAUCCAUUUUGAGAUGAUUUGACAAACAACGGAAAUUUAAUGAUUAAAAGAGAAAAAUUAAAUGAGAAGCUAAAAUGAUUUUUUUUUCUUGUAAAAUUAGAGGCUCAAAUAAGUUAUUAUGCCUAUUUUAAAAAGUAAGAAAAUUACUAAAUUUUAUUUGAAUAUCAAUCUGAUUUAGAUGAUUAUGCAAAAAUUUCAAAUAAAAAACUUUAUCCAAAUUUAUAUGAAUUGUCUUAUUGCAACAAGUAAAGAAUCAAAAUACAUACCCAAAGUUAGGUGACUUAAGGAGAUCUCUAAACAGAAGCCUACAAAGAAAAAUUCUAUGAUGAAAAAAGAUGUGCCUCUGUUUGAUAUUUAUAUAUGCUAAGAGAACAUUGUAAAGUUCUUAUGCUAAGAGAACAUUAUAAAGUUCUUAUGCUUGUUUAAGUUUCUCCUAUAAUUGAUUUCUCCUAUUUAAUUUAAUGGAUUGUAUGAUUUUUAAUAUCUCAAUGCAUUAGUGAAAGGAAUAUCAAUUAAUGGAAAUUAAUUCUCAUUGUUCAAAAGGAAUGAUUGAAUAGUGAAUUUCAUGACAAUCAUUCUGUUGAUCUUGUAAUAACCCUUCCAGUUAACAUUUGCAUUGAGGUUAGCACCAGAGCCACCAAUUGUUGUACUCAGCAUAGUAGAGGGUUUUUCGUGAUUGACUUUGUCAGGUCCUUCAAAGCUCAUCUAACCUUUAGGCUUAAUGAAGUCACCCAAUGUGGAUCUCAUGAUAAUAGUUACAAAGAAUUUUUUCCACGACCUGCAAGUAAGUCGCGAUUUUGAACCUGUCGUUGAAGAGCUUUUGUCCAAGGACAAUCUUGCAGUUUUGGAUCACAGGACCAAUAUUCGCAUAAAUGAAGUCUUUGUCCUGUGCUGAAUUAAUUAUCCAUUGGCCUCCUUACAAUAAUCAAUGAGUUUUGGAUAAUAGUAGAGGAGUCACGGAAGAUGAAGUCAAUGGUUCUAAAGAUUACAUAAUUAUGAAAGAAAUGAUGAUUUGCUUGAUUGUACAAGGUGUCUUGGUAGGCAUCUAUCCUGCAAUUGAAGAAGGUUGAUUUAUUUGAUUGAACGCAUAGAGCCACCGCCUAGUGCUUUUUAGGACCAACUGUGUUCUAGUGUCACAGGCCGCAGUUUAAAGCCCGUGACCAUCGCACCAAAUGCAUCCAAUGGAGGUCUAUUGCUCAGAUGGGGAUAAUUUGGCCUACGAAAACUGGCUCGAUUCAAAGAAUUAUUGGAAAAGCCUGUCAGAUUGAAGCCUAGUUGGCCCGAUAAGGAAGAAAAGGCAACUUAGGCUAAUAUGGUAACUAAUCUUAAAAGAUAGAGGGAAUCAUAUCUUGUAAAGAUUAGAUUAGAUUUGAUAAGGCAUAUAUUAUAAAUCCCUAAAAUUAAGGGAUAUGGUUAAUCUCAUCUGUCGAUGUAAAUGUAUCUUGACCGUCGGUUUUGGGGGAGCUCAACUAUAAAUAGAGAGCCUCCCCCUCAGUUGUACUCACUCCAUUCAUUGUUUCAUUAUUCUUUGUGAAUAAGAGAAAUAGAUAGCAUUUACUCAAACACUUUGCGAGCGUUAUUUCUGUUGUUCUUUGUUGUUCUUCUUUUGGCAUAAAUCACUUCCGCUCUUCAAUUGGUGCCUUGGAGGAGUUCUAAAAGAAUCCUCACUUGAGUUAAGGCUGAAUUGGGUGAGUUUGGACGAACGGAUCGCCUAAGGCCGCACGGAUUGUGAGACGAAAGGUCUAGCCCCGUGACAGUAGAAUCCCCUAGAUUUGGCAAUGAACCAUUCCCAGUAGUAACUACACCAUUAAAAUUAUGAAAUUAUUUUAUUACAAAAAAUUAUCAUGGGUAAUAAUUAUGAUGGAUUAACUAGCCUAAGUUGUCUCCUACAAAGGGUAUGAAACUAUAUAUGGGUUGCUCCAUAAUUAUGUGUUACCCUUGUUAUUGGUUGAUAUAGAGGGCCUUUUCUAUUAAUAAAAUUAUCAUCCUAAUUGGCCAAAAAUAAUAACGGUUAAGAGUUCUUAGAAACUUAUUUGAAUGUGACAUUUUGCCGAUUGGUAAUUCCACCACCAUUUUUGACACCCUUGCGACUAGUGCCAAUAGUUUUUCUUAGGCCAUCACCAUACAUGAUGGUGUUGGUAUAUUGUUUGCCUACGGUGAUGUACUCAUCAUAGAUUCCUCCCUUGAUAUAAAUCACAUAUUAGAUAUAGGAGUUCUUGAAAGCAUCAACUAAGGCUACACCUGUAACACCCCUAACCCGUAUCCGUCAUCGAAUUAGGGUUACGAGGCAUUACUAGACAAAACACAAUUCAAUACAGAUGUUCAGUAGAAUUCAAGAAUUUAACAUUUAUAUACAAUUCGUUUGAAUACAGGUUUAAAUCUACUAUUUCCAAAUCAAAAUAUAAGCAUUGUUUAUAUAUAUAAAUUGAAAUAUUUUAAGCUUAGUCAAAUUUUAAGCAAGUAUAAUUAUAAAUUCUACUUUAAACUUUUAAAACAAAACAUAACAUUUCGAUCCCGUUAAACCAUAAGAAAAUAAGCCAUUUUCGUAUGGCUAUUAAUUAUAUAUACAGUACAUCAAAGUACGAUUUCCAAAACAUUAUCUAGCCUAUACAUGCCAUAAGUUAAAAUUUAAACAUUUCAAUACCGAGACAAUAGAUAAAGUGAUGAUCUUUGCUGACGAUCCCCGAGCCUACAACUUUGUUUUUAUCUAUAAAACAAAUGGACGUAAACUAACAAAGUAAACUUUUAUCGCUUAAUAAGUCUUUAGCAUAUCUAUAAUAGAUAUAAAAGAAUCAUAUAAUUCCUUAAGUAAAUUUAUGAGAUCACAAAUACCAAAUAUAAUUACUAUUCAAACAUUGCUAUCUUAAGCCAUUUUGUUGAUAUCUAAAAGAAUGUAUAUUUAAUUAAUACGUAUAAAUGAACAUAUGUAUAUUCAUUAUAUGCAUAUAACCAAGUUAUAAACAUACUCACUAACUGCAUAUACUGAUUGCUAGUGUGCUUAUCGCUUGCACUUCAUCAAAUGCAUUUUUAUAUAUAAUUAUUCAAAUACAUAUGCCAAAAGCAUAUAUUUAUACUUAUCAAUUACAUGUGCCGAAUGCACAUAUAUACUUAUAAUCCACAUAUGCCGAAUGCAUGCAUAUAUAUAUCCAACAAUUUCAUAACAACCAAUAUACGUACUUACUCACUAAACACAAAGAUCUGAACGUUUAUAUGCUCAUCAAAUACAUAGAAACAAAUAUUCAUAUAUUUAUCCAUUACAUAUAACCAAAAUCAUAUAUAUACUCAAUGCAUAUAAUCACUUAAUUUAAACAGAUUCACCGGCACUUAGCCUGUUAGGCUUAAAGCCUGAUUCAGAUCACCGACACUUAGCCUGCUAGGCUUAUAACCUGAUUCAGAUCACCGGCACUUAGCCUGUUAGGCUUAUAGCCUGAUUCAGAUCACCGGCACUUAGCCUGCUAGGCUUAUAGCUUGGUUCAGAUCACCGGCACUUAGCCUGCUAGGUUUUAAAACCUGAUUUAGUACACCGGCUUUUAGCCUGCUAGACUUAUAGUCCGAAAUGUUUCACCGGCAUCAAGCCUGCUAGACAUAAAAUCUGAAUUAUCUCACUGGCGAUAAGCCUUCUAGACACUAAGCCUGAAAUCUCAUUUCACAUAAGUUGUAACUCAUAUUCAAACUAUAUAUGUAUAUAAAAUCCAUACAUAAAAAUUCAACCCAAAAUUUAUAACUUAUAUUCUUGAACCACAUGGAUAUAUAUAAAGUUCAAUCACCAAAUCCAACAUUAAUAUCUCAAUGAUCCAACCAAACACAUUUAUAUAUAACUUCAUAACACAUUUAUAUAUAACUUCAUACUUUAGAUACUACUACUAAUAUCAUACUAUUUAACUUAUAGCAUACUAUGUACAUUUAACAUUCGAAUCUCUACAUAUACCUAUUAAUUUCAUACCCCAUUUCAAUACAAAAACUUAUACUUGUACAUAUAUACAUAUUCGAAUCUUACAUAUAUACAUAUAUAAUUUUAUACUUACAUUCGAAACAAGUACUUAUACUUUUAAUCACAUACAUUUUCAAAUUUAACAUAUAAAUAUAUAAUUUCAUACUUAUACUCAAUAUAAGCAAUUAUACAUAUAUAUAUAUACAUGCUUAUUCGAUCCAAACAUAUACAAAUAUAUUACACAUAUAUAUAUGUAACAUCCAUACUUUUAAUAAAAUCCAAGAAUUUAUACUCAUAUAUACAUACCUAUUCGAACCUCUUGUAAACAUAUAUAACAUUCAACAUUAACUAAAUUCAAAACUUAUUCAUGUAUAUACACAUAUAUCCGAACUUUAUAUAUAUAAAUAUAACAUACAUACUUUUAACUAAAUUCAAGAAUUUAUUCAUGUAUAUAUAUAUCCGAACUUUAUAUAUAUAAAUAUAACAUACAUAAUUUUAACUAAAUUCAAGAAUUUAUUCAUGUAUAUACAUAUAUAUAUCCGAACUUUAUAUAUAUAAAUAUAACAUACAUACUUUUAACUAAAUUCAAGAACUUAUACAUCUAUAUACAUAUAUAUCCGAACUUUAUAUAUAUAAAUAUAACAUACAUACUUUUAACUAAAUUCAAGAACUUAUACAUCUAUAUACAUAUAUUAUCCACUAUUAGUUCUAUAUUAUUGAACUUUAAACAAACUUUAGCUAACAUACAUGUAAUUUGCAUCAUUAAUAUCAACUUACCAAAGUAAAUUCUUGUAUUCGGGUAUCAAUAAUAAAAUUUAAAGUUUCAUUCAAUUUGAAUAUAUUAAGUUUCAGCUUAUCAUAUGUAAAAUAAAUAUAAUAAGCAUAUAUUUAAUUUAGAUAAUAUUUAUUUGCUAAUUGACUUACCUCGGAUAUUGACGGACACGUUCGACUAUUUGACUACUUUCGUUUUUUCCCAAUCCAAUUCCGUUUUCUUCGUUUCUUGACCUAAACAUAUUCAAAUUUAGCAUUUUUAUUCAUCAAAUCAUUCAAUUAAAUCCAAAAAUACAUAAAUAGAAAAAUUACCAUUUUACCCCUAACAUUUUACACUUUUUACAAUUUAGUCUUUUUUGCACAAAACACAAAAUACACAAAAUUUAAUCACACCAUACUAGGGCCGAAUGUUCCUAGUGUUCAUACAAGUCAACACAUUUUAUUUAUUUCACAUUUUAGUCCUUAAAAAAGUUAUUUUCACAAUUUAGCCCUAAUUACUCAAUUUCACCAAAAAUUCAAAGACAAAACAUGUUAAUCUUUCACAUAUCUUUCAUUUUUCAUCAUCAACUAUCACAAAUCUCAAGCAUUCAUCAAUGACACAUUUCAAAAUCAUCAACAAUUCACAAAAUUAAGACAUGGGUUUUGAAGUAUUCAAAGCAACGAUCUCAAAAACGUAAAAAUCAUCAAAAACCGAACAAAAACUAACCUUGAAUUAAGCUUCAAAAGAUGGCCGAAACUAGCUUAGGUUUCUUUCUUUUUCUUUUCUCUAGUUCCGGUCAAAAUAAGAUGAAAAUGUGGCUUUUAAUUUGUUUUUCUUUUAAUAUAUUAACUUUAUAAUAUAAUAUAUUAUUAUAACCUUUAUACAUAAUAUAAAAACUAUAAAUUAUAAGCAUAAUGCCGUCCACUAUCUUGAUUAAUGGCCUAAUUUCCUAUUAAGGACUUCACAUUAUAAAGACAUUCGCAAGUUAGCACUUUACACAUUAAUUAGUCAAUUUCACAUUUUACGCGAUUAAGUCCUUUUAUUAAAUUAAGCACACAAACAAUAAAAUUAAUUCACGAAACUUUCACACAUGUAAAUUAACACAUAAUAAACAUAUAAAAUAAUAUUAAAAUAUUUUUUAGACCCGAAUUCGUGGUCCCAAAACCACUAUAUCCGAUUAGGGUCGAAAUCGAACUGUGACAACACCAACGGUCUUCAGUUGGCCACUACCAUCCUCAGCCACAACAACAUUUGGUUUCAAGUUGCUAUUAUCAAUCCUAGCUAAGAGAUGGUGGUCUUUAGCUGAAAACCAUGAGGGAUAUUCGUUCUUUUCAACGAAAAGAAGUCUACAGGAGUUAGUAAUAUUUAACUGGAUGUCGAAUUUGGAAAGAAUGUCUGAAAACUUUGUUGCUAUUAUCAAGGCAUUACCUGUGAGUUCACUAGCACAGACAAUAACCUUUUGCAUGCUUUCUUUCAUGUUUUUAUUGUAACACCUUGAUACCUGACCCAUUCGCUAGAUCUGAGUUACAAUAUGCCACAUUCGAUGCCGUAGCUACUACGAUCAAAUUACAAACAAUUAAACAUUGAAGCUGUAACUAGAAAAAGUGUAUAAAAUGAUAUAUAAUCAUUUACGGGUCUAAUAAGAACUUACGAAAUCUCUUUUGUUAACCCGAGACUAAAAUAGGACCAAAUUAUAGAUGUACAAAUCAAGAUUUUUGCACGUCACUCGUCGAUGAUUUUCACUUUUCCUUUCCCUCUCGACGGUUCGAUAUUGUUGUUAACUAUGAAUAAUCAUAAAACACAUCUUAUUAUCAAAUUCCAAUAGAAACAAAAUCAAAUAGCGAUUUUCAAAAAUUUUACAAAUAUUCAAUUUAGUCUCUAAAAUCGGGACAAGCAUAACUUUCAAUUUAAAGCAUUGGAUUAAAAUCUGAUUUCACCAAAGCCCAUUAGGGGCCCUCUAUUUUCUAUCCCUAUCAAUUAUUCAUGACAUUUUUUCAUUUUAUCAAUUUGGUCCCUAAUGUACAAAACUAACAAUUAAGCUUCGCAGUUUAGUCCUUUUCACGUACUAAGCUUAAUUUCUAACAAUUUGAUACCAAAAUCAUUCAAUUCUCUAUCAUGGCCACUUUCUAAAACUUUAACAGCUUUUCAAAUUAGUACAUGGGUUAGUUAGACCAAGCUCUCAUGAUUCAAUUUCCAUAAAAAAAUAAAGAAAAAUGGCUAGGGACUUACUUGAAAUUAAAGCCAAAAAGCUCAAAACCCUUGACUAUGGCCUCAAGCUCUUCUUUAUUUCUCAAAUUCGGUUGGGGAAGAUGGAAUUCUCUUUCUUCCCGCCAAACAUACAUAUAUAUAUAAGGAUUAGUUUAUAAUUUAAUUUAAUUAAUCAUAUUUUUACUAAAUAAUUCUUAAUUAACCUAAGUUAAUAACUAAUUAAGAAUGUCGUCCACUAACAUAGGAUUUAACAUGGCAUAAUUGAUGUUUUAAAACUUUGGUUAAUUGAAAUUUAAAUCCUCAAGUCAUUUACUAAUUAAAAAUUCAUAGCGAUUAGACUUUACAAUUUAGUCCCUAGGCCUUAAUUAACCAUAACUUUGUUUCAAUUGACUGUCCAAAUUCCAAUUCAAUAAUACACUAACUUCGUAAAUGUCUUUAUUAGAUAUUUACGAACUCAAUUUUUGGAAACGGGGUCCCAAAACUGCCUUUUCCGACACCACUAGAAACUAGGUCGUUACAAUUAUUGUCUUCAAAACCAUCCAAGCAUGAUUGAUGAUAUGAUAUAACAAUGCUCAGCCAAGUUCUAAGAUCAUUUAUAUGAUCAUUAAUGUUGUUGAUUCACUACCAUCCAUAUUAGAGUAUGAUGCUUGAAGUGAAUCAACAACAUAGUUCAUCAUAUCCUUACACUCAUCUAAGAACAUCUUUGUGAGGUUGUUGCUCUUAACUCGAACUAUAGGGAGUCAGAAUAGUUGAAGAACUUCUUGACUGCUUCCUUAGCUGCCAAGAUAGCCUUCACAAUGAACUGUUUAGGAACAGUACUAUUGACAUAGCUAAGAGUCUUCUAGCAAGAUUCCGGAUAAUGAGUAAAUGAGCAAAAGUUAGACACUACAUUCAUUUGUGGAGAUAAUGUUUCAUUAUCACUACGAGUUUGAUGAACAGUAAACACAAUGCCAAUGACAACUCCUACCACAAGAAUGAUUGAAACCCCGACAUUUAUCACUUUUCUCGACAUCUUUGUUGUUGUUUUUUUAAUGAAGAUAUUAUAUGGCUAACAUUAUUUAGUCGUUAGUAUAAAAACUAUAUGACUCCAAACUAACCAAAAUUAAUAAGGAGACACCUUUAUUGGAAAUGAAGCAAUUCCCUUUGCUUUGCUUUCGCUAUUAUUGUUUGAUGAAAUUCAUUAUAUACGAUGAGUGUGGGAGCUCUAGGAAACGAAAAUGAUGUCUUAUUGUGGAUAAGUUACAAUGUAUCAUCUUUAAAUUUAAAAAAUAAAAAGUUUGGGAUUCCUGUUUGUUGGAGUAGAAAAAAUUUGUUUGCAAUUUGUUUGGAAUGGUUUUAUUUAUUAAAACCUUAAGAGCCUGUGAAGUGUAAAACAAUAUUUUUCGAGAAGUCAAUAUUAUUGAAAAAAUGUACAAAAAUUAUGAUUUUUAUCUUCUCCAUAUUUAGGCUUCCAUACAAGAGGCAAAUUAUUAAUUGCUACAUGUUUUAUAAUUAUAAAACUAUUGAAAAUUAAAUAAACUCAUAAGAAGAGCUUUAAAUUCUAAAUUCUAUUAAUUUUCAAGUAUAUUUUGAGAUAUUUAUUCAUUUAAGUUUAAAUAAAAUAAUAAAAUUUCAUGUAAAAAUAGGAUAUCUUUCCUAAUUUUAAACUUCAAAAUGAUAUUUUAGUCAAUCGCUUUUAGUAAUUUAUUUGGAGUCGAGACAUACUUAAAUAAAUAGAAGAAAGACAACAGUCCUCAAUAAAUUUAUUUUAGUUAAUAUAUCAAAGAGAUUAGGAAUUAAAAAAUUAAAAUUAAACUUUUAGUAGUGAAAUAUUUAUAUAUAUUAAAAUUUUUAAAAAGAUGAGAUCUAGGAAGCUGCUUCAUGCUGGGGCAUUUAAAAGCACCUAGGCUGAUGGCAAAUCUGCAACUCUUUUUUUUCCCGGAAAAUUGGGAGUUUAUGAACAAGCAUGUCAUAGUGAUGGUGAAGGACUUCCUUCAAAAAGGUUGUAUGUUACAAGAAAUCAACAAAACUCUCAUUACCUUGGUGUCAAAGAAAUUUCCUCCUUAAUCAGUGCAACAUUUUAGACAAAUUAACUUUGGUAAUAUCAUUUAUAAGAUUAUUUUUAAAAUUUUUGUAAACUUUUACAGAUUAUUCUUGAGAGAUUUUGUCUCUCCUCACCCAUCAAGAGAAAGAAGUUUCGUGACAAUCAAUGGUGUGAGCCGAACUUAUUUCUACUAAUAGAAAAAAGAAGGACAAGGUAUUCGUGGAGUCCUCAAAUUGGAUAUGAACAAAGCUUUCGAUAAAAUUAUUUGACAUUUUGUGGAUUAUAUUUUAAAAAAGAUGAGUUUUCUUGAUUGGUAGAUUGCAAAAAUCCAAUCUUGUAUUUCCAUUAUUAGUUUCUAAAUUUAAGUAAAUUCAAGGUCCGUUCAAGCUCAUCAUGCCUAGAAGAGGGUGAAAACAAAGAAAUCCAUUGUCUCCUUAUAUUUUCAUUUUGUCUCACAAUGUGUUAUCUUGUGAUCUACUACAACCGGAGGAGCACUCUUUGAUCCAUGGCAUUAAAGUUAGUAAGAAUAGUAUCCCCGUCUCUCAUUUGUUCUUUUGAGCUAAUAUUGAAGCAUGUAGUGUGGUGAAAUCAAGUUUUGUUUGGAACGAAUGUUUAAUGUUACGAAGUCUAACUAGUAGUUAGCCCUUAUUGUCACUCUUAAGUUCAUCAAUAUAUUUAGAAAGAUCCUGAAAUAUGCCAUGUUUCUAAGCAUCCAGGAACCUAUUUAGGAUUUAUAUGGAACAUCUGUGGGUUAGAAGAAAAUUCUUUCAACCUAUCUUUAUUUACCUUAGUUUAUCUAAUUAAAAGAAAAAAAAAUCAAAUAAUUCCACAUUAUAUAUAUAUAUAUUAUAUUUAUAUACAUCACCAUUUGUCAAUCCUAGCACUUGGAACCAAAGGCAUGGGAGUUAUUUUCAGACACCAAGUUAACCAAUUGAACUUGUCAUUCAGACAUGUACCUAAAAAAAUAGUCCACCAAAGUAAAAUACCACUAAUAUACAUGCAUCAUCAUAUGCGGAGAAUAAGCGAGUUUCAGCCAUAUUCCAUGUUGAAAACAACAUUUAAAAAAAAAAAAAUUAUCAUAUCGUAUGACCUGAGAUUAAAAGAUGAAGUGGAAACCAUGAUCAGGUCUAACAUCAACUAAAAGAAUCCACAUAUGCAACAUAAAAUUACAUUCAUUCCUACCAACCUUAUUUCAACAUUUUCACUACAAACACAGUAAUGAACCGUAGAUUUGCAAGUUUGCUUGCCGUGGGCUCUUCAUCGUCAACCCAAUUUCCCCGUGGGAUUCAGGUUCACGAUUGCAUUGCAGCAACCGAUUUGAACCCGAGAAUGCUGUUUUAUAAAAUUUCAUCAGGCGUAUUGUGGACAACAGCAGCCCUUGAACAAACUCGCAUCUUUUUGCCUUCUCUUCCUGAUCCUUUACCGAAAGGGGAGACGACUUCACAUUUCUGUCAUCAAAACCAAUUAUCAGAACGAGAAAGCUGAUAAAAGCAUAAACAUCAUCCACAGGUAGGACAGACAAGAAAUUCCCAUGUAGUAAUUCACCCGAGAACUAACGUGCAAUACAAACCAUCAAUUUCCUUUGAAUAUUUGAAUAAGGCUUUAAUACUAAAAGCUCGAUGUGAAGUACCUAAAUAAAUAAACAAAAACUGGGAUGACCAGAACAGAUCCCAUCCUCUUUCUCAAAGAAUGACAUCAAGUCUCAUCUCCCUAUCAUGACCAAGUCUAAUUCGUAAAUACUAUGUAUUCAUUUGUACACUAAGGGAACUGGACAAUUAACACUAUCGUAGAACUACAUAGCUUACACUAACAAUUUUGCUGCAUAUACCAAAUUGCGAAACUUUUGAAGUGAGAACAACAUGUCAGAAGAUAAAGCCAAUGGUGUCCUUGAUUAAAGAUAUAGGGCCGCAGAAGUCACUAAUCUGGACCAGCAGCGUAUAUGUCACCCAGGUUAGUUUUUCUUUAACAAAAUACAUGAUACGAUCCAGAACAUCUUGUUCCAAUAAUGAAUCUGGGCAUUUUUACAUGCAUAAAAUAAAGUUGUAUCAUGUUAAUAAGAGUGAUAAGUUGAAUAAGCUGCAUCUUUUCAAACUAGGUCUUGAAAGAUGGCUUCUCAUUGAGAAACAGAGCUUAAAGGUAGAACUUUGAGAGAUGUUCAUACCACACAAGGAGGCUAUGGUAAGAUUCGGUAGUUUGCCUAGCAUUUCCAGUAACAAACAGAUAAAAGACCAUGCACAUUCAAAACACCUGCCUCAAGCAACAUGGGGGCAAAAGGAACGAUCAGAUUCUAAAAGACAGUGAAACUUACCUUUCUGACUUAUUCACGUCCGUACUUUUCUUAGUUGUUCUUGUUUCACGAGAAAAGUUAGGCUGGACACUAACAAAGUCAUCAACCAUGGGUAAAAUAAAUGAAGACAACAACGGAUCAGGUGCUGAAUUGGAAGACACUGUACAAGAAGAACCCCCGAAGAAGGACUGUAGAUUUCCUUCUCGCAGCUCUUUCCUCAGAAGAGAGAGCGUGGAAUGAGAUCCAGCUUUACGUGAUUUCCUCUUGCGCUGCAUGUAACCAACCGUUAAGGAAAUGAAAAUAUAUAAGUCCGUAGACUGAUGUGAUGGGGAUAUGACGAAGCUCCACGAACAAAGCUAGUAAUGCUACUACUACUACUACAUUAAUGAAGUAGAGGAGCAAGUCAUCUUGCAUACUAAUUUAAUGGUCCCAGCAGUCAAAAGGAGCAAAGAUGAUAAAACUUGCAGGUAAAAAGGAGGAAACAUUACGCAAAUUUAGUAAAAUGCAGUAAUGAUUUUCAAGGUGCAUGUGGUGCGUGAAAAGAAAGAACUUAUUCUAUACAAUUUAAAGAAGAAAUUAGAAAGACAAAAAAAUAACUCAAUAGAAGGAUGUCUUAAAUAUAUUUCCAUGUUCCCACCCUCACUGCACAGCCUGGAUCAAGAGACGAAUGAGACUAAUCAAACAGAACAUUAACAAAUUAAACUGCCAUUAGUGAGUCCAGUUCAAUAAUCAAUUGGAAAUGAUGAGAUUUAAAUUGAAACAGAAAUUAAUAAUUUGUUUAUUCAUAACAUUGAUUGAAGAAACUUAAAAGGAUUUUUGUAAUAAGUCAAGUCUCGAGAUAAGGAAAAAAGUUACAAGUGUUGAGAUUUAAAUUUCUACAUUUAAUAUCACUCUUUAAUCUAUACAUAUUGAGUCGAGUGAUAAAAAAUUUGAUAAGUAUUUAAGAUUUUAAGUUUCAAAGAUUCAAAUAGAUAUAUGUUAUCAGCUUCAAAAAAGGAGUCAAAUCAAAGCGUUACUAAAUUAUUGAAUUAGGAGAGAAGCAAAUCGAUAGUAGCUAAUGUUUUGAUUCAUUUUCGACUUUUAAAAACUUAUUAAUUUAUUUAUUUAAUUUUAGAAUGGAAAAAUAUACUUUUAUUUAUAUUUUUAGAAAAAGAAAUUAAAAUAUUUUUAAUUAAUAAAUAAAUAAUCAAGUCAACUUAUAACCUAAAUCACAAAAUAUCAUGUCCAAAGCUCCACGGGACAUGCCAUUAGCUAACCAUUGGAUCGGAGUAUUGGUGAGUUAGAUUAGUUUAAAAUAAUAAUAAUAAUAAAGUUAAAUAUUGAGAAUGAAAAAUGCUAUGAAAAAUGUGUUUCUAAAAAUUAUUUUUGAAAAUUUUGAUAAUAUUUACCAUUAUGUUAAAAUGUGCUUUUUGGAAAGAUAAAUUGUAAAAUAAUAAGGGAUAAAAAGGAAAUUUUCUUGAAAAAUAUUUUUCUAAAAAUCAAAAGCUAAAAUUUUUGGGUUAAAAUCUUAGUUAAGAUUUAAUGGAUGUAAUGGUGGAUUCCAAAAAUCCAAUCUUGCAUCUCCACUAUUAAUUUCCAUAUUCAAGUAAAUGAAGGUCCAUUUGAGUUUAUCAUGCUUAGAAGAUGAUUAAGAUAAGGAAAUCUAUUGUCUCCAUAUAUUUUCAUUUUGUCCCACAAUGUGUUGUCGUGUGAUCUACUAUAACUGGAGGAGGAGCACUCUUUCAUCCAUGACAUUAAAGUAUCCCCUUCUCUCAUAUGUUCUUUCGAGCUAAUAUUGAAGAAUGUAAUGUGGUGAAAUUAAUUUUUGAUUGGGACGAGUGUUUAAUGUUACAAAGUCUGACCUAAGAGUUAAGCUUUAUUGUCACUUUUAAAUUCUUGAAUAUAUUUAGAAAGAUCCUCAAUGCCAAUGUUUUUAAGUAUCGAAACCUAUUUAGGAUUGAUAUGGAACAUUGUGGGCUAGAAGAAAUUUCUUUCAACCCAUCUUUCAUCUAAUUAAAAGAAAAUUCAAAUAAUGGCCCACUUCUUUUUAUAUAUAUACCACCAUUAGAAACUUGUAUUUAUAUACAUCAACAUUUGAAAUAUAUCAAGAAGAAAACCUACUAAAUGGAUAGAAUUUUGUCAAUCCUAGCACUUGGGACCAAAGGCAUGGGAGUUAUUUUCAGACACCAAGUUAACCAAUCGAACUUGUCAUUCAGACAUGUACCUAAAAAAUAGUCCACCAAAGUAAAAUACCACUAAUAUACAUGCAUCAUCCUAUGCCGAGUAUAAUCGAGUUUCAGCCAUAUUCCAUGUUGAAAACAACAUUUUUUUUAAAAUAUCGUCAUACCAUAUGACCUGAGAUUAAAAGAUGAAGUGGGAACCAUGAUCAGGUCUAACAACAACUAAAAGAGUCCACAUAUGCAAAAAAUUACAUUCAUUCCUACCAACCUUAUUUCAACAUUUUCACUACAAACACAGUAAUGAACUGUAGAUUUGCAAGUUUGCUUGCCGGGGGGCUCUUCAUCGUCAACCCAAUUUCCCCAUGGGAUUCAGGUUCACGAUUCCAUUGCAGCAACCGAUUUGAACCCGAGAACGCUGUUUUAUAAAAUUUCAUCAGGCAUUGUGGACAACAGCAGCCCUUGAACAAACUCGCAUCUUUUUGCCUUCUCUUCCUGAUCCUUUACCGAAAGGGGAGACGACUUCACAUUUCUGUCACCAAAACCAAUUAUCAGAAUGAGAAAGCUGAUAAAAGCAUAAACAUCAUCCACAGGUAGGACAGACAAGAAAUUCCCAUGUAGUAGUUCACCCAAGAACUAACGUGCAAUACAAAUCAUCAAUUUCCUUUGAAUAUUUGAAUAAGGCUUUAAUACUAAAAGCUUGAUGUGAAGUGCCUAAAUAAAUAAACAAAAACUGGGAUGACCAGAACAGAUCUCAUCCCCUUUCUCAAAGAACAACAUCAAGUCUCAUCUCCGUCUCAUGACCCAAGUCUAAUUCGUAAAUACUAUGUAUUCAUUUGUACAUUAAGGGAACUGGAUAAUUAACACUAUAGUAGAACUACAAGCUUACACUAACAAUUUUUCUGCAUAUACCAAAUUGCGAAACUUUUGAAGUGAGAACAACAUGUCAGAAGAUUAAGCCAAUGGUGUCCUUGAUUAAAGAUAUAGGGCUGCAGAAGUCACUAGUCCGGACCAGCAGCGUAUAUGUGACCCAGGUUAGUUUUUUUUUAACAAAAUACAUGAUAUGAUCCAGAACAUCUUGUUCCAAUAACGAAUGUAGGCAUUUGUACAUGCAUAAAAUAAAGUUGUAUCAUGUUAAUAAGAGUGGCAAGUUGAAUAAGCUGCAUCUUUUCAAACUAUGCCUUGAAAGAUGGCUUCUCAUUGAGAAACAGAACUUAAAGGUAGAACUUUAAGAGAUGUUCAUACCACACAAGGAGGCUAUCGUAAGAUUAGGUAGUUUGUCUAGGAUUUCCAGUAACAAACAGAUAAAAGACCAUGCACAUAUAAAACACCUGCCUCAAGCAACAUGGGGGCAAAAGGAACGAUCAGAUUCUAAAAGACAGUGAAACUUACCUUUCUGACUUAUUCACGUCCGAACUUUUCUUAGUUGUUCUUGUUUCACGAGAAAAGUUAGGCUGGACACUAACAAAGUCAUCAACCAUGGGUAAAAUAAAUGAAGACAACAACGGAUCAGGUGCUGAAUUGGAAGACACUGUACAAGAAGAACCCCCGAAGAAGGACUGUAGAUUUCCUUCUCGCAGCUCUUUCCUCAGAAGAGAAAGCGUGGAAUGAGAUCCACCUUUACGUGAUUUCCUCUUGCGCUGCAUGUAACCAACCGUUAAGGAAAUGAAAAUAUAUAAGUCCGUAGACUGAUGUGAUGGGGAUAUGAGGAAGCUCCACGAACAAAGCUAGUAAUGCUACUACUACUACUACAUUAAUGAAGUAGAGGAGCAAGUCAUCUUGCAUACUAACUUAAAUGUUUUUAAAAUGGUCCCAGCAAUCAAAAGGAGCAAAGAUGAUAAAACUUGUAGCUAAAAAGGAGAAACAUUAUACAAAUUUAGCAAAAAGCAAUAAUGAUUUUCAAGGUGCAUGUGGUGCGUGAAAAGAAAGAACUUAUUCUAUACAAUUUAAAGAGGAAACUAGAAAGACAAAAAAAUAACUCAAUAGACAAGGAUAUCUUAAAUAUAUUUCCAUGUUGUAGGGUUAUAUGCGCAACCAUAUCAACGCCCACCCUCAUUGCACAGACUGGACAAACCUGCAAACGAAAACAACCAUAAAGAAAGGAGAUUAGAUUCAAUAAAACCCUUUCCUCAUUAGAAUAAAAGAAACUCACACAGCUCGUGACAAGACAAUCUAUAAACAAUAACUAUAAAACUCCAUUUUUCCGUACUUGAGUUAAUUUUUCCGGUUAGCUAAACUUGAGUUCAUAGUCCAAAACUAGUUCAUCUAAAUUUUAAAUCUCAUAAUGAACAUAUAUAGUCUAACUAUCACGAGACUCAAUUAAGUAAAAUAACAGCUGAUUUGUAACUUAAGUCCAUAAAGCUUAUAAAUUUGAAACUUGGCAAAACACUUUUUAGUUCCUUUUAACAGGCUAUACGGAUUCAAAUAUCAACUCGGUUAAGUGAGCUAUGCUACUUUAAACAAACAUUAGUUACAAAGAGAACGAUCACGCCAAAACUCCAUCCAAUAUACAUAAAAACAAAAAGGGUAUUAAGAAAUUAAUGGGGGGGGGGAAUGCGUUACCCCAUUUUUAGCCUCCACUGGAUGCUCAUCAUCAAUGUGACAACACAAGCCAACGAUGUCGAAAUACUCUGAACAAAAAGGGCAUCGAAACUCCUCUCUUAUUUCAUCUUCUCCAUCAAUUUCUUCAAACCCCAUAAGCAUAUCUGCACUUUCAACCCAAUUCCACACAAUUAAACCAUUUUCUAAAAAAAAUAAAGGCAAAAAAGAUGCUUCUCCUAAUCGAUUAAGUCAAGCUACUUCCUUUUCCUUCAUUUUCCACCACACAACCUCCCCCCCCAAGAAAAAAAGACCGAUGGAACUUCCAAAGCUUACCAGAUCGUAAUUGAAGAGCCGAUUGAUAUCUCUUAGAAGCUGAAGAAAGACGAGCACUCCAUGAAUCAGCAUCCAUUGUUUCUAAAUCACCCUCUUUUUUAUACAAAUUUUCAACCGAAAAGGCGAAAAAGGAAGGAUUUUAAUUUGAGGGGUUAAAAAUUCAAUCUUUUGGAGCUCUGGUCUUAGAUUUGUGAAAGCAAAAUGAAAUUAAAGUAAAGAGGAGGAGGAAGAGGCUAGUUAAGAGUUUGGGGUUUGAUGAUGAGACGCAGAAAAGGAAGAAGAGCUGCCUGUUGUUGUCCCUCUUCGAGAGUGAAUUUCGUUGAAAGAGGAAAUUUCAUCUAUCAAGUCUUUGCCUUUUAUAUUACUCUUAUUUUCUUUUGCCUUUUUACGUUUUAAUUUUUCUAAUUUUGUAAAAUUAAAAAUUAAAAAUACUCCCACUACCUUAAUCAGAUUAUAAAAACUUAUGGGUUCAGUUAUUGUUUAAUCCAACAUUUUUUUUCGAUGGAUUGAGUAGGAAUAUUUUAGUGAAUUUUGUUUUAUUUUUCAUAUAUUUAUUAUUUCUAAUUUGUAUUAAUUUUUUACUUUUCAUCUAUUAAGCAUGUAAGUUUAAUUUGGAUGAUUUUGAAUAAUGGUUAAUAUAUGAUAAACUAAAUGUUAAAGUAUUGGAUGAAAAGGUAUUUGACAAAAUUUCAAUUCAAUCUCUCCUCUCACCUGGAUGGAUCAUAUAGUCAAUAGAAACCAUAAACUUGAAUAGAAGAGUUUACCCCACCCAUGAGUAAAUAUUUCGUAGUAGCUUCAUUAGAUUACACAUCUUUCUUGGCAUAUCCAAAUAAUAGGUAGGAGCAUAAACCAAAACAUUCUAGAUGAUCAACUGACAGUUGAUACAAUUAUGGAUAAAAUAAUCUUCAAGUAAUAACAUGUACAAAAUUUGAAUUUGUGUUAUUUAAGUCAAAAUCGAAAUUUUAAUCAUUAAAAAUAAAUGUUAAAAGAACCAAAACAAUAGCUUAAUUAUGAAUUUUUAAGUAUCACUAAGAAUUUCCAAAAUAAAGUUUAAAUCCCAAGGUUUUUCCCAUUUUGAAUUGUGCUUUCUUUUGCUUUCUCUCUUCAUUUUCAAACCAUGAAAUGAAGGUAACCAUAAUAAUAACACAACCCUUCUCUCAGUUUUCUUUCCAUUUCCCGGCAACCAAACAAAGAGGGACGUGCCUUGUGUUAGCUGCGAUACAUGUUCGUGGAAAAAGUUCUAACACAAGUAGUUUAUAUUUAUAGAAACAGAGGCAUAACACAUGUGCGUUAUUACUUCACUUAAUCAUAUAUAUAGUUAAGCUGAUCCUAUCCUCAAAGGACAAUGUCUGAAUCAUGACAACAGAAAAAUAUUCACUUGAGACAGUAGGGCAAUUAAAUAAAGUAAACCACUCUCAUUUCAUAAUAAAUACAUUGAUUUUUCAAUCGAAUUUCGCUGUUGAUUAAUUCUGUGUUUCUCUAGUUGUCAAGCAAAAACUAAGCCAUAGGACAUGGCCAUCAAAGAAAAAGCAGCAAGUUCUUCAUCCUCUCCUACCUUCCUUCUCCUUUGACACCUUUGCUUCUUCACUACCCAUGUUAAUGAUGAUGAUCUUUGCAACAAAACUUCACUACUCAAAGCAAGUAAUCUGAUCUUAACAGCCUCACCUAACCCACUAAAUCUACCACUAGGUUUCGUGUCAUCAACAGACUCAUCAUUUGUUGUAGCAAUAGAAGCAGAGCUUGUUGUGACGGUGCUGGAUGAUGAUGAUGACGAUGAUGAUGAUAAAUGCCAUUUCACUUUCUUCUUUUCUGAUACUUCGUUUAAACCCAACAUUGCUCUUCUUCUCUUCCUAUAUUUUAUCCCACAUGCAUUGCACAAUGACUGAAAUUACCAAAAAGGAAACAUACAUAGCCCCAUUAAUCAACAAUGACCUAAUAAAUUGAUUAUUGACCAAAGAAAAUCAUGUAUGGGAAAAAAAAAAGAUGAAAACUUUACAGGUGAAGGGUUUAUAGUAAAGCUAAUAAAUGAUAUUAAAAGAAGACAAUAAAUAAAACCAGAGUUGAAAUGAUGAAAUACCUUGGGGCCAGAAGGGCCACCUCUCCAAAGAGGGGUCUUUGUGGUCUUGCAGUCAGUACAAAACUUCUUCAUGGUCUCACUCAUUGUAUCUUCAUUCAAUGAUUCCUGAAUCAUAAACAGCAGUCAAAUCAGUGUUUAAAACGAAAAAGAAAGAAAGAAAGGUUUGAAUUGAAGUUGAUUUUGUUGACCAACCUGUUCUCUAAGAUCCAUAACACCCAUGAACCAAUUCUUCCAACAGAUCUUACAUUAAACAGGACAGCAAAAGGGGGGGAAUAAAAUGAAUAUUGGAGGUUGAAGAACAAAGAAGUACCAAUUUGUAACUAAAAGAAAUGUAAAUAAGAGAGGGAAAUAAAACAUAGAAAGGAAAGAGCUUUUCGGCUUUCACAGAUCAAAACCGAAGAACAGAGAAAAGCUUUUGUUAUGAAAACGAGUAAGGAAAAAACAUAUUCAAAAAAUGAAAAGAGAGACGGAGAGAUAAGAGAACCGACAGGGAUAGACACAAAAACCCUAGAUAGAGUGUUAUGAAAAGACGAUAACACCCUUAGUAUACCAAAGCGCCGCCUCCUAUAUUGAUCAAAAUGAAAAAACACCCGCCAAAAUUUUUUAGGAUGGCGCAAUCCACGUGGCAACAUGGAGGGGAGUGAGACUGAGAGGUAACUCCAUGGUUAAAUUUAUUUUUAGUACUUGGGAGUUUUUGUUUUGUUUUUAUAAAUAUGAUUUACCAUUUUUUGUGGUUAACUACAAUAAUUAAUAUAAUUAUUUCAAUAAAUUCUAGAAAAUAGAAAUAAUUUUAAAAUUUAGUUAAUAAAUUAUGUAAUUCAGAAAUAUUAUUUUACCUUUUAAGUUUUUAGGUUAAGUGGAAAUGUUCUUUAGCAAAAAAAAAAAAAAAAUGGUGCUGUACAGUUUCUGGGAAAUGAAUUGAAAUUAUUGUACAACUUGAGUACAAGUCAGAAAGCUUAAAUUUAAAUAAAGGAUAAUUGAAAUGAAUUCCAACCAUAGAGCAUGUUUGCCUUGAGUAGUUUAAAACUUGAUAAAUAAUAAUAAUUUAAAUUUCAAUAUAAGGUGGAACUCUUUUUUAUUUUUGUAAUUAAUAAAAUCUUUUAAAUGAAAUGUAGUUGAAACAUCGACUUACUUACGAACUUCUUUAUAAUUAUGGACAUAACACCUAAAAAUCAUUUAUAAUUAGAGGGCAUACCAACUAAUAAUGUCAGUACCUAGUACUACACUUUUAUGCAAUUAUUUGUGACACCCAAAAUAAACAAACUUUCAUUUAAAACUAGUUAAAUAAACCGACUUAAUUUUAGCCUAAAAGCAAGCUCAUAUUUAAAAGUAAAUUCCACUUCUCACAACCCAUAUCAAGCUUGAUUGGAGCCGUUCCGGAAAAUAACAUUUUCUUUCAAUAAAGCUAAAAUGAAAAGAAAUAUCAAACCAACAAUUAUAUAUGUCUAUUUCCACUUCAAAGCAACAUAUAAAACAAUCUAACUGGAGUCGUUCGGAUUUACAUAGUUACAAAAGCAUAUUCCCCUGUGAAUCAUAACUGCUCUGGGCAUAUGCCAAAAUCAUCAAACCAAGCUUUUGCAAUUGCAAAGACACAAUAUAUUUGUUUUACGACCAUUAAAUAUAGACUCAGUCUGGGUUCCUCAAUUUACUGUCCAAGCUCUAUUCUGUCUCCAUUCCCACUUCAUGCAUAAUAUGAACCUGGCUGUGCUGUUAACCCACGCCAGCCCACUACCAUUCACACUGUACCUUCGACCAUACCCGACUGUGGACACAACCCAAAGACUAGAUGCCUCAACUGGAACACCCCCCCCCCCCCAAAAAAAAACUAUUGUCCCAUCAUCUCCAUAAGGACUUCAAUACUGGACCAGAUAAAUCCUGGAAUACUAACAGCUUUUAUAGCUCAAAAGCAUACAAAUGGUAGUCAGAUAUGCAGUCCCAUCUCAAACGACAUAACACGCUCCCACUAGUGCACCAACACAAAAACAAAUGCAUGCAAACAGCAGCACUACAUACCUCUAGCUGAAAUUGAAUCCCCCUGAAGGAACAGGAAGCUCACCCCCGCCAAAAUGAAACCCUGUUUGAGAGGCAUCACCUGGCGGCAUUGUCUCAUCCUCCUCCUCCAACCAAUAUGUCUCGAGAACUUUCACAGCCUUUUCAUAAAUCUCAGUGUUAUCGUGGGACUGUAAAUUCUCGAUCUUCUCCAGACCCUCAGCAUCAUCAAUCAUUUGUGCAUAGAGAUUCACUCCUCCGGUAGUGCCCAGGUUCUUAUCAGCUUCUCCUACCUUCAAAAUGUUUUCAAGCCCUUCUAAACAGACUGUUACAAUCCUUGGAUCAGGGCAGUUAAGAAGAUCACACAAUGGCUUUAUACAACCUUGACUAACAAGGAAUCUGAAACACGACAUGCCCAAAUGAGAACUAGUUUAUCAUUUAAUUCUUUACCAAGAAAUUAUUCCAAACAACUAAGAUGAUAAUAGUUUUCAUACUUGAUCUGAUCAUGAGUACCACCAGAUGUGGCAUUUGAGAUGGCCCAUGCCGCUUCUUUCUUGAUAUCAAAUUCAGCAUUUUGAAGCAGAUGAACCAGUGGAGAUAUAAUAUUAGCUUCAAUUACAGCCUGUAAAAUCCAUAUCAUUACACACCAUUUCUUGUCAUAAAUACUACAGACAAAACCACAGAUCCAAAAGCGAUAAAACAAGAUAAAUAUAAAGGCAACAAGAAAGUGAUACAGUUCCAAAUUUUACCUGUAUCUGCUCCUUAUUUCCAGCUGUGAUAUUUGAGAUUGUCCAACAAGCUUCCUUCUUGAUGCUCUUUUUGAAAUUAUUUGUCAAGAGGUUUAGAAGGCAUGGCAACACUUGAUGAUUGAUAAUACACUGUGUGCCAAAAAGAUUUUCCCAGAUAUGAGAAAAGACAAAAUGGUUAUACCAUAUAAGCAAAAAGAUUACCUUUAGCAACUAAAUUCAAAAAAUCUUGACUAAAUGGCAGGAGACUUAUAUUCCUAGAAAGAUCUUUAAAAGACAACCUAGGAAGUGGUUGAUACCUGGGUUUGACCAUCAUCUCCUGUGACAAUAUUUCCAACUGUGCGAAGAGCAGGUAUUAGCACUGAAGGAGAUGGGUGCCUGUGAAAACCAAGAAUUUUAGAUUUAGAAGCAAACAAAAUAAAAUUUAAUCACAGACAAAAAGAAUGAGACUCAAUCAGCAGCAAAAAUCUAACUCACAUCAAGAGCUCCACCAGACGCCCACAAACACCUGCUUCUAUAACAGCUUGGAUUUUGUCAUUUGUACCAUCAGAAAGAUAUGAGAGCGCCCAACAUGCAUCAGUUAAGACUUCUUCAUCAUUCGAAUGAAUAAGGUGUGUCAAUGCAGGAAGUGCAGGUUUAACCUGAACAAUUAAUAAAGGAAAAGCAAUAAGAUAGAUAAUUCAAACCCAAGACUGGUUGCAUACGUAUUUGUGGUUCAAAACUAAUACUUGAUAUUAGAGAUGUGCAACACCUCACUUCCUAGUACACUUAGCAAUCUAUUGCAAAGCAUAAUUUUCAUGAUCCAACAUGCAAUCCACUAUCUCAGAUUUCAAAGGCCGCCAAAGGACAAUGAUUUGGCAUUGUAAGUCAAUAUCACAUCAACAGACUUGGGAAUCCUUGUUAAACCCACAACAAUUCCCCAAGAAAAGGAGGGAAAGAGGGUCAAACCAGAUCAAAGGGAGGCUGGGGCUUUCCCCGACAAAAGUUUGAGAGAGUCCAUGUUGCAUUCCUCAGCAUAGAAAGUUUAACAUGCUCAUUUAACUGUGCCAACAAAGGAAGCAAAGCACCAUGACUAAGAACCAGGUCACGACAUCUAGGAGAAUCUCCAGCAACAUUUCCCAGUGCCCAGACAGCCUGAACAUUCAGAGUGAAAAGAGAAUAAGAUUGUAUAUAAUAUUUCAUUCUAGCUUUUGCCUAGUAAAGUUCAUUGUGCACACUUCUUAAUUCUGUCGAUCAAAACUAUGCUAAAUGCGUUCCAUAUGCUUACCUGCUCACGAACAUCAUCACUUGGUGAAGCAAGCAAUUUCACAAAUAUAGGAACAGCCCCAUGAUCAAUUACCACCUUUGUGUUCUCAGAUGUCCCAGAAGCAAUAUUAGUUAGGGCCCAAGCUGCCUCAAACUAAGAAAUAUGAAAUCAGUAAGAAUCUUACAUCUAGAAAUUUGAAGUCAUAAAAUAAUGUUGAAGUUAACAAGAAAUCCAACCUGAAGCUGUGGGAAAUCAUCCCUCGCAAGGAAUUCAAUGAAGCGAGGAACAACUCCUGCUUGUAUCACUUGGUCAAUAGGUGGGCUGCGUUCUGGGAUAAAUAACAAAAGAUAUUAUUAGUUCAGAAUUUUUAUCACUACCAAACAAAAUUAUUACGUGAUUAAAUUCUAACCAAUUGAAAGCAACUUCCUAAACUGUGUGGUUGCCUCAAGCUGCAUAUUACUAUCGUCAGCCCAGACACCAGCAACCAUGGCUGGCAAAUUUUCCAACUGCAGUUGAACAGGAUCAGAACAAUCCAAUGCAAUUAACUGUAAUAGGGUAAACCAUGACAAAAGCAAAUUUCAUGGAACAUGCUGCCAAUUACUAAAAACAUUUUGCUUUGAAAUAAAUUGAAAGAGGAAACCCCUUUUUACAACUCUAAUUAAUUAAAAACAAAUUAAGAAGCACUAAUUUGAGAAUUCAAAAACCAACCCCGAAUAUUUGUUGUAGAAUAUAAGAUAACUAGCUACAUAAUCUUUAAGCUUAAUACGAGAAAAAAAUAAAAUGAAUUGCUUAUUCGACAACUCAUGUUACUGUCUACCAAAACGUUUAAACAACAACAGAGUUCCCAAUCAAAUCAACGAAAAUACACCAAAAAGCAUCUAUAUAUAUAUAUAUGACCUCAUCAACACAAUCGAAACCUAAUAUAUGCAAAAUUCUCUAAAUUUUAAAAACCUACCAUAAUCCUAAUCCGAUAAGAUUAAUUAAAAACCGAAAAAUCUCUGAAUAAGCAAGCUUCAACAACUUAAAGCAAUUUAUGAAUACUGAAAAAGAAACGAGAAAAAUAGAACAAUUGAAAAUCGACCUUUUUCUCAACGGCAGAGGAGUGAAGAGAAGCAGGCAUUGGCUGCGCUUGAAGCCCUUCACGUCGCUUCUUCUGCAAACUCUCUUCACGGCGAUUCUUCCUAAUCUCCACCAUGUUAUCCUCCCUCCUCCGCCUUCCUUCCUCAGCGUCCACCGCCACCUUGUACCUGUUCCUUCGAACCUCCGUCCUCGAGUUUGGUCUCAAUGACAUCUUCUCCGAUUUUCUGGAACAAAACUAUAAUUUAAAAGAGAAUCGGAAUACAAAACACUAUUUUCCUUCUUCACUGAAUAUCCCAGAGGAACAGAAAAAUCUUUCUGAAGGUUUGGUUUAGAUUUUUGAUCGAUUUUAAGAAGACAGGAGGGAGAGAGGGUUUAUAUAAGAUUGUAGCGGAAAUCGAUUUCUAAAAAAUGGUCGUGGAUUGGGACAUAAUUACAAUCCUACCAUUUCCCAGUAAUUGGUAAAAAUGCUACACAGUCGGAUAGGGCCCAAAAGUAAAGACCCAAAUCAAACGAAAGCAAGUCCAUUCAUAAGCCCAACCCAUAAUGUUUUGAACCUAAGUAGAAGUCAGCGCAAGUUUGAGCAAUGAGAGAAGUCAUGAUCCAAAAAAUAGCUUUCAACCACUCAUGCCAAUUGAAACUCAAACCCAAACAUCAGAGCUACCAACACUGCUCCUUAGAACCUUAGCUUGCCAAGGGGCACAAACAAAACCCAGGGGGAAAAAGUGGAAAAGCAGCACUAUCAAAGAUGUCACAAUGACAACGAAACCGUCAUAGACUAAAAGCUCCUUUAGAUGCUCGUUUAAUGUCGAUGCAAUGUGGUUACUAUAAAAAUCUAUCUGGUCGCAAUUCUAAAAUGUGUUUGGAUGGCAAAGCUGUUGUGCGGUGUAAGCACUACACUACACUGUAGAAUUCUCAUUGGGAGAUUGGACUCUUUUGAGUCCUAUUAAAAGUUUUAAAGAAAUUAUUUGAUAUAAUAUCCUUGGACCUUUUUUGAGAGUGUAAUAAGUGCUAUAUUUAUUUAUACUAAUUUAUCUGUCACGUGCAGUGCAUAUGAUUUUACGUGUUUAUUUUUAAAAUUUAUUAAAAAAUAUAUUUUAUGAUUUUUAAAAUAUAUAUUUGCUAAUUAAAUGAGAAUUAGUCUAAUUUAUAAUAAAAAUCCAUUAAUUCUAAAGAAUAGUUGAGAGAAUAAAAUAACAUUUUAAAAGUAAUAAAAAAAAGUGGGUAACAACCGACAAAAAAUAUUAAGUUAUUAGAUAAAAUAACUUGUCAUUAAGUCAAAAUUUUAUCUAAAAAGAAUCAUUACUUUAAUAUUUUAUUGUCUUUGAUAUAAUAUUUCACAAUUAUGUAAAUAUCAUUAAAAUUAAAUAAUAGUAAAAUUAUCGAAUAUCAAAAAAUAAUAUUAAAAAUCAUAAUACUUAAAUAAUUAUAAUUCCAUUAUUAUUAAAAUAUAUAUAAAUGAAUUGGAUUCAAGUUUUUCAUAGUUUUUAAUAUUAUUAUGUACUGUAUUAUUUUAAAAAAAAUUAAAUAUUCAUAAAAAUAUUUUAUUAAAAAUUAAUAUUUUUUAUUAUGAAUAUAUAUAAAAAUUUAUAAAACAUAAAUUAAAUUAAAAUUUUAUUAUUUAAAUAUUUAAAUAAAUAAUGUAAUAAAGUUAGAAAUUUAAUUUUCAUACUUUGAAUUUUUUUUAAAAGAAUAACUAUAGUAAUCUGAUUUAAAAAUAUAUAUUACUAAAAUAUUACCAAUGUGGUUGUAGAAAUAUAAAUGUGAACAAAUAUUUUAAAGUUUGGUAAAGUAAAUAACCAUAUUUGGUUUUUAAUAUUAUUAUAUGUUAUAUAUUUUUUUAAAUCAUAUUUAUUACAUUUUAUUAGUGUUAGAUUUAUAUUUUAAUACAAUGUAUAAUUAAUAAUAAAUAGUAAAUAAUUUCGGUUAUAUCGAUGAGCAUUGGACGCAAUCUAUUUACUUCAGGCAUUUCGAUAAGGCACUGGGUAUCAAAUUGGUGUGUUGAUUGGGUGCCAAAUUGAUGAGACACCAAAGAGCACUAAAGUGCUAAGCAGAGAGCACCGAAGUGCUGAACUCAUACAAGCACGCGAAUAACCCUAUUGGAAUGUCAAUCGUAACCUAAUUGUUUACUAAUUUCACACGGGCAUUAAUACUGUAUUCGUAACAUUUAAAUCACUGCAGUGUCGUCAUGUACAUAUCAUCCAUCAUAAAACAUUUUGUAUUCGCUCAAUACUUCAUAUAUGUUUAUAAAUGUCACAUAUACAAUACUUUACAAUUUAGUCCCUUCAAUGUCGAAUAUCAUUAUAUUCACAUCAACUCAAAUAACAAGCAAAAUAAAACAUUACAAACAUUAAAAGAAUUAACAUAGUAAGUUCCAUAUGAACUUACCUGACAAAAACAACAAACAAACAAAACAUCAAGGACUAUUUCACAAUUUUGUCUUUUCCUCGAUUAUCCUUCGGUAGAUUCAAAUCACGAUCUAUCAUCACACAAUGUAUCUUGAAACCCUAUGAACUUGCAGUUAUAGAAGGUUGUGUUGUCCCCUGAUAUUCUCAUGGCGAUUGUCUAUGCCAAGAUUUUUAUACCAUCUGACAUCUCAGCUGAAUUCUAUAACAAAAACAAGCCAUGAAAGGACCAUGAAACCCUCCCAAGAUUCAAUAACAAACCUAAUAAUAUAACACUCAAGUCAUUUAUAGUACUAUAAAUUAAUACGAGAAAACUUAUAAUAAAUGGAAACGUUAGUUACCAUAAAGGCAAUGUUGGUAGCCAUGAAGUAGUCACUUUCCACCACCACUGUCACACUAUUCACCAUACCAAACUGCUUCGUCGUCCCAUUAAACACUAUCUUGGGCAUAUCCGGGGGUAGAGGUGAGCGUUUGAUCGAAUUGAGUGAAAAAUUUCUAGUUAAUCAAGUUGACAAGUCUUGUUUUAUCAUCCUAAUUCGAUUUGAAAUUUUUUUCGAAUCAAGUCAAGAGAAAUUAGAUUUAAGUCGAGUCGAAAUCGAGUGAAAUUUUUCGAGUUAAAUUAAAAACUUAAACAUGUGAAAUUUAAAUUUUGUUACAGUAUAACUAAUUCCUUGUUAGAGCACAUAAAUUUGAAAUCAUAUAUAUUUAAAAAAAAUUCAAAGCAAAAAAAAAAAAUACUUUAGUAUGAUAAACUUGAACUAGGAUGGAGUCUAAAGGGUGCACUUGAAUCCAUUAACGAUGGUCGCUUCCCUUUCUAUACACAUAUAUAAAAGUUUCACUAAUAUCAAAUACUAAGUCAUAUCUAUACACUUAAAUAUAAAAUGAAGGUAAUACGUGGCACAUUAACCAUUUUUCCUCUUUUUUUUUGCAUUUUACAAAAAGGUUAAAUGCCAGUUUUAGUCCUUCUAAUAUGUCAAAAUUUUAUAUUUAAUUUAUUAUUUUAAUUUUAAUUUGAUAUUAUAUUUUUAUAAUGUUAUUAAUUAGUCCAAACAAGUAAUAACAUUUAUUUUUCGAUUAAAACAUUUUAUGGUUAUAUAUAAUUUUUUACCCCAAAAGGCUUAGAGUUUGACACAUGGCUCUGCAUUUCUUUUAGGUUUGUGUCACUUUUUUUUUAUAUUAUAAGACAAUUGUCAAAUUUUAAUUUUGACCUCUAAACUAUGUUGAAACUUGAGAUUUAAUUUAUAUAAUUUAAUUUUCAACAUUAUUUGGUCUCUCUACUUUUAUAGAUAAAACCCAACCUCCAAGACGUGAAGGGGAAGCAGGAAACCAUCGUCGCUUGUGUCGCUAAGGCUAUGCUCCCCCUCGAGAAUAGAAAACUCAGAUGCGAAAUGAGGAAUCUCGAUCCCUCGCGCACGCAAACUCCAUCUCAUUUCUUUAUACUUUAUAGUAUAGGGAAAAACUUUAGCCUCGACAGAGGUCUUAGAAACACGAUCUCGCAGUGGACAAAGGGGCAAUAAUUGGCCGCCAGGUCCUCUCAUUCUAGGCAUAUUCGAUGAAGGAAAGAAAAGAAAAAGGCAAAGAAAAAAAUUUUACCUUGAGAAAGAUCUUUAGUUGAUUCUGAUUUUAAAAGUGAGUAAGUGUAAAUAUAAGAGCUCCGAAAAACCCCUCUUUUAAAGAAAAAUUUCCCCGUGUCUUGAUGGUUCAAAUAGCCGAGAAGUUCCAAUGGUUAGAUACAUGGGAGCAUGAUCCGUCCGAACACGUGGCGAAGCACACAUCAGAUUCAAACGUCCAACAUGUAUCCACAAUCUAUAAUAAAUUCGAAAUGAUGGUCCUAAGGAGUGCCACUUUAUAAUACUUCUUAACCCCAAUAAGAGGGACUUCUCGACUAAUACCCGAUUCUUAGAUAAUACCCGAGUUAGCUACACGUGACCCGAAUAUGUCCCACCAAAUGAUUGAGUGCGAAGCGAACCACGAGGGGACAACAUGGGAGUUUGCUGAUCUAGCUCGCAGAUCCAGCUCGCACAAAUUGGGUGAGGAUCACAGUCCAGUCUGCUAAAAGCCCAAUGUGCUCGCUAAAGGCCCAAGGUACUUACAGAAUGGAGAUCAUGUGUUAUGCAGGUGACCCAGAGUGAAACACGUGUCCAGUGGGCUUAAAGCCCGCUCAGAAUGUUAGUUCCAAGAACAGAGAGGAUCGUAUACACUGCAGGUGACCCAAGGCGAAACAUGUGUCUAAUAGGCCUGGAGCCAACACGGAAUGUCAGUCCUAGGAACGAUGGAGUCAAGACAAAACAAUAGGAUCAGGUUACAAGGUACAAUAGUAUAAUUACCUGAAUGCUUCUAUUGACGAGAUACGAGACAAAAUUAUUCAACAAAUCUCAAGUUUCAACAUAGAUUAGAGGCUAAAAUUAAAAUCUGACAAUUGUCUUAUAAUGUAAAAAAAGCGACACAAACCUAAAAGAAAUGUAGAGCCAUGUGUUAAACUUUUAGACUUUUGGGGUAAAAAAUUAUAUAUAAUCACGAAAUGUUUUAAUUGAAAAAUUAACUUUAUUACCUGUUUGGACUAAUUAAUAACAUCAUAAAAUAUAAGACCAAAUUACAAUUAAAAUAAUAAAUUAAAUAUUAAAUUUAGACAUAUUAGAGGGAUUAAAACUGAUAUUUAACCUUUUUGUAAAAUGCAAAAAAAAAAAAAGGAAAAAUGGUUGAUGUGUCAUGUGUUACAUUCUUUCUAUAUAUAAGUGUCACCUUACUUUUAUAUAUAAGUGUAUAGAUAUGGCUUAGUAUUUGAUAUCAAUGAAACUUUUAUAUAUGUGUGUGUAUGUGUAGAUAUGGCUUAGUAUUUGACAUCAAUAAAACUUUUAUAUAUACGUGUAUGGAAGCUGAGACUUAAAGUCAUAUUUGCUUUCAUCCAUCAAAAUUUGUAAAAGCAAAUAUGACUCUAAGUCUUGGCUUCCAUGCAUGACAAAUGUACAUUGUAUUGUUGCCUGAACCUGUAAUGUUACAGUAAAGGAAUGUAAACCUGCUGUCAUCUUCCACUAUUUCCCUCACUUGUGUUGUGAUCACACCAAAUAUUUUCUGACCGACUGAACCAUGGUGUUCUACAUAAAAAAACAUACAUCAUUGCAGUAAUAAAUGGAUAUCCUUUAAGAUAGUACAAGGACUAAAUCCAUGAUUUGAGGAUAAUAUAGGGGCCCUGUUAGAGUAUAUCAAAGAAGCUACAAGUCAGUUAGGCAAUUCAGUUUGUUAGUAGGUUGUUAAUGUUCAGUUAAUAUUAGUUGAGGUCCUAUACCUUAGUAUAAUUACAUGUAUCAACAAUAAUCAAAAUUAUGGAUAAUACACUAAAGAUUCAGUGUGUAAAAAUAUUCGUUUUACCAGUGUAACUUUCAUAAUUGCUUUCAUAUUCACUUUCAUGGUAUCUUUUGCCUAAGAUCUUGGUCACAUCUUCUUGUUGCAUUCUCAUGGCUCAGUCCGUGAAUUAUGUCUCUACCACCAAUGCCACUCCACCUGUGCGUGAUCCGACUCCUUCGACUCGCUCUGAGUUGGUAAGACUCGUUUAAUGCAGUGUUUUCCUAAGCAUGAUACGGUUAAACUAGAUGAAGGCAAUUUUAUACAAUGGCAGCAAUACAUUUGGCUAAUUCUAGAAGGAUAUGAACUUACCGAUUUUGUUGAUGGAUCUCUUUCGUUUCCACCUCGUUUUAUGCCAACUCAAGAUGGACAUAUGGUGUUAAAUCUUGAUGCUUCUUUGUUUCAUCAACAGGAUAAGUUUCUUGCAUUGUGGUUGCUAUCUACAAUCAGUGUAUCCUUCCAUUCAUAAUAUUGGAGUUAAGUCAAGCUCUGUGGGGUGUGUGGUUUUUGAACUAUAGCAUCGUCGGCUUGGUCAUCCCUGUAACACCCCUUACCCGUAUUCCUUGACGGAAUAGAGUAUGAGGUAUUACUAAUUUUUUUUUAUAAAAAAAUUUCGGCAGCAUUUCUGCUUAUUUUUACAUAAAACCCCCUACAAGUUUUCAAAACACAAUUUCAAACGAUUUCAACAUUUCAACCAAUUGCAGAUAUAUAUGUGUAUACACAAUUUAUCCAUUAAUAAACACCAACCUAUUAAACCGAACAAUACUAUAUAUACAUAUUUAUACCACAUUACAUAAAGUCAUCUAUACAAGCCAUGUUUCAAAAGUGUUGAUUGCCAAAAUACCCAAAAAGUUGAUGAUAGUGUGGAUGAUUUCCUGAAUUCGUCCAAGUUCUGAACUGGCUGAUGUCACUAUAAUCAGGGGAAAAUACAAACGAGUAAGAAUAUAGCUUAGUAAGUAAACAUAUGACAAGUAAAUAAAUUUUUCACAAGAUUACAUAGUGACAUAAUUUUUAUCACACAUAAAUUUCAUUGUUUGCUCAAUUUCCAGCAAGCUGUUUUUCUGCAUCACAGUCGCCAAUUUAUUUUUAUCUGGAGCUACAGGGCUCCAAAUUAACCUUCGUAAAUUUUCUCCAAAAUUAGACUCAUAUACCUUUCCACCAUAAAAUUUUCAGAAUUUUUGGUUUAGCCAAUUAGUACAGUUUAUUCUUUAAACCUUCCCCUAUUUCACUUCCUAACAAUUCUGACCUCUCCUUACUAAAAUUUACUUAUCUCCAUGUAAAAAAUUCAAACAAUGUUCUUGUUUCUUUCUAUUAAAAAUAGACUCAUUAAGGAAUCCAAGCAUGUAAAUUCUAAGCCAUAAUUAUUUUUUUACAAUUUUUGGUGAUUUUUCAAAGUUGGAAUAGGGGAUUUCGAAAUCAGUUCAACCCUGUCUCAAUAAAAUUCAAAUAUCCCCAAAUAUACAACUCUUUUGAUUCCCCUUUUUAUUUCAUAUGAAAAUAAACUCAUUUAGCUUCAAUUUCAUAUAUUAUUAAACUUUUAAUUCAUUUUCCACCAUUUAUAGUGAUUUUUCAAAGUUUCCCAACUGUUGUUGUUCACAACAGUUUUGUAUUUAAAUUUUCUAUUUUGUAGGUUUGAUGUUUCCUUCCACCUCACACAUGGGUUGAUUAAGUAUUAAACCCAAUAUCCCUCACAUAUUCUCGUCCACCUUAUAUAUAUUCACCUUUCCAAUUUUCCCCUGUUGAACACUCGGAAUGUUGUCCGUUAUCGAUGGAUUCAGCACUUAACAACCACCAGUGAUUCGGGGAAUCAGCACUGAGCAACCCCUUUCACAUUUAAGAUACGGUGGGAUUAGCACUUAGCAACCACCAAUGAGUCGGGGAAUCAACACUUAGCAACCCCUUGGGGGAAUCAGCACUUAGCAACCCCCUUCACAUUUAAAAUACGGUGGAAUCAGCACUUAGCAACCACCAAUGAUUCGGGAAAUCAGCACUUAGCAACCCCUUGGGGGAAUCAGCACUUAGCAACCCCCUUUAUAUUCAAUGUACUCCGGCCUAUUCCGAGUGUUCAACAGAAAACCGUGUUUUUCAACACUUUACCACCUUUCCCAACUUAACCACAUUUUUAGUAUCUAUACCAAGUAUUUAUUCUAUGUUCAAUUAAAUCUCAACAUAUAUUGAAUAAUAUCAAAAUAAUGCAUUAAUUCACAUGUUUACUUAUCUCGGUGCAAAAUAUUGUAAUUUUGUAAUUUACUCCACGACCUUCUCUUUUCCCCAUUUGAGAUUAUCUUCUCAUCUUUCUUGAUCUAUAAUAGCAAAUUUAACUCAUUAAAUGUUCACAUUUAUUAAAAUAGUCCUCCCCUCAACUUUUUGAAAAAUUUCAAUUUUCCCCCAAACUUUUGCAUAUUUACAUUUUUUCCCCAAGCUCGGAAAUUAAAUUUCACUUAUGUUUUAUGACAUGCUGAACAUUUUUACCUUCUAUGAAAACAUCAAAUUCUCACUCUAACACACACUUUUGAACAUUAAUUAUUUUUACCGAUUAUGUCAAUUUACCCGUUUUCGCUUAAAAUCGCUUAGCAAAAGUUGUUUAACAUAAUUUCUAGCUUCAUAUUCUACCAUAAAACAGAAAAAUAAACACAUUUCACCUAUGGAUAUUUUUCCAAAUAUGAGCUAGAAUAAGCUAAAUUAAGCUACCGGGACUCCAAAAACGUAAAGAACAUUAAAAACGAGGCUUGGAAUCACUUACUAUUGAGCUUGGAAGCUUAAAAACCCUAACUAUGGCUUCCCCCUUGCUGAUUUCGUUCACCAUGAAGAAGAUGAGCACAUUUUGCCAUCUUUUUCCCUUUUUAAUUCUUUUUAUUACUAAAGGACUAAAAUGCCCCCAUUAAAAAAAAUCUAUUUCACCCAUUUCUUAUGUCUAUUUUUGUCCAUCAAUUAACUAAUGGUAUAAUUACCAUAUACGGACCCCCAAUUUAUAAUUUCAUAACGAUUAGACACUUCUAACAUGUAGAACUCAACUUUUUCACUUUUUACAAUUUAGUCCUUUUGACUAAAUUGAGUGCCCAAACGUCGAAAUUUUUGAACGAAUUUUUUUCGUGAAAUUAUAGACCAUAAAAAUAUAAUGACAAUAAUAUUUUCCCUCGUCGGAUUUGUGGUCCCGAAACCACUGUUCCGACUAGGCCUAGAAUCGGGCUGUUACAAUCCCUCUGCCUCGAAUCGUUCAGUCCAUUUUAAAUAAAUGUCAUAUUGUUUCUCAUAAAAAAUCCCUUGGUUCUAUAUGUACUGCUUGUCGAAAAGGCAAAUCCUACAAAUUAUUGUUUUCUAAUUUUACUACUGAAUAUACUUGCUCGUUUGAAUUGGUUGUAUCAGACUUAUGGUGGCUUGCUUCUGUUGGAUGUGGUAAUAAUUGGUACUAUGUAUCAUUUGUUGAUAUGUUUAGUCAUUUCACUUGGCUGUUUUUCAUUCAGAAAAAAUCUCGAGCCAUUGAGUGUUUUACUCAGUUUUAGAAGAUGGUCAAAACUCAAUUUAGGAAGGAUAUUAAGCAGUUUCAAAAUUAUUGGGUGAUGAGUAUCUCACGUUCACAUCUGUGCUUGCUCAACAUGGUAUUGUUCAUCAGGUUUCGUGUCCACAUACAUCUGAACAAAAUAGAGUAGCAGAACGGAAACAUCGACAUAUUGUUGAGGUCAGUUUUAUGCUUUUUGCUCAAGCAAAUGAACGGAAACAACGACAUAUUGUUGAGGUCAGUUUUAUGCUUUUUGCUCAAGCAAAUCUGCCAUUGAAAUUCUAGGGAUACGCCUUUGCUUGUACAGUGCAUUAGAUAAACAAACUACCCACCUCAGUCUUAAAGGAUAAAUAUCCAUACAUGGUACUUUAUGACAAUGAUCCUUCUUAUGAUCAUCUGCGAGUAUUUGAGUGCGGUUGCUUCCCUUAUUUCCAUCCUUUUCAACAUCAUAAGUUGGAAUUUCUAUCUCAACCAUGCACGUUUUUUGGGAUAUAGUUCUCAACAUAAAGGAUAUCAAUGUCUUACGCCGGAUGGUAAAAUUGUUAUUUCUUGGCAUGUUGUUUUUUUUAUGAAAAUCGAUUUUUAUAUCUUGCAAAAUCUUUGUAUUCUAAUAUGUCGAAUGAGUGUGUUUCCAUGCAUGUUCCUGUUGUGCAGUCCCCAUCUUCUGUGCUUUCAAGUAGACCAAAUGAGUUACUACGUCCUGAAGUUCUCUCUCGUGACACAUCACGCGGUCCCACUACUUCUGCUACUCCAGAUUUGGUUACUCAAAAGAAUUAUUCGUGAUAAAGGGAGCCCCUUCAAAGUUACAACUCCUAAAGUCCCAUUGACUGAAUCAAUUACUACAAUGGUUGAAUCACUACAAAAACAGGUCAAGCAAGGUUUGCUCAACCAAACAAAUGAGGAAGGAAUCAGACGUGAAGGAAGUAAGGACGAUACACAGCAACAACAAUAAGUCUGGUAUUAUUCUCUUUAUAUUUUAUGAUGAAUUCUAAACUCAAUUUAUCUCUUUUCGUUUGGAACUAUCAAUGAUAUGCUAGUAUUAAAUUUCCUCACAUAUUCAGAGAAUAUAAUAUUGAAUUUAGACCAGACAUUAUAGGUCUUUUAGAACCUAAAGUAAGUGGAAGCAAGGUGGAUGAAAUAAUCGCUAAAUUAGGCUUUCUACAUUCUCAUCAAGUUGAAGCAAGAGGUUUUUUCGGUGGAAUUUGGAUCGGUUGGAGAGAAACAAUUAAACUUGAAAUAAUCCAAAAUCACCCCCAAUUUAUUCUUGUUAAAACAUAUAAUGAGGGGGCUACUACAACCUAUUCUAAUUGCUAUCGUCUAUGGGAGCCCCAACAGUACAAAAAGGAAAAGUUUAUGAGAAGGUUUAAAAAUAACUCCUUCAUCCGAUAAUACCCCUUGGAUGGUAAUAGGAGAUUUCAACGCUAUUCUCCCUGAAGAAGACAAAAAGUGUGGUAGCGUCAUAGAAAAAAGAUGCCCACACUUUGGAGAAUUCGUUGAAUCCAAAAAUCUAUAGGAUCUAGGAUUUCGAGGGCCCUUUUUUACUUGGCAACAAGGAGGAGUCUUUGAAAGAUUGGAUUGAGCAAUAGGCAAUGCAGCUUGGUGCCAAUCUUUUCCACAUUGUUUAGCAACACAUUUUACUCGAAUCAAGUCAAAUCAUAGGCCGUUGCUUGUUAACACUAAUCUGGAAUUCAAACUCUCUAAAGGAAGGCCAUUCAGGUUUCUUGCUGGAUGGGCACAACAUCAAGAAUUUUCCAACAUAGUCAAGAUCUAUUGGCAUUACAGGGGAGACAUGUACAAUACUUUAGAUUAACUCACUACUUGUAUCAAAAACUGGAACAAAAAUGUCUACGGACACAUUGGGAGUCACAAACAAAAACUAAUGAAAGCUUUAAGUUCACUACAAAUAAAACUUGAAAAAUCAUAUUCGAACUCCCUAACCCAGAAAGAACUGAGUAUUAGAGAGGAACUGAAGAAUGUUCUUGACCAUGAAGAAUUACUGUGGAAGUAAAAAUCCAAAUGCGAUUGGCUCAAACUAAGAGAUAGAAAUACAAAAUUUUUUCAUAACCAAAUGUAUAGAAGGAAAAUUAAUAACAUUACUGCACUCCACAACUCAAACAAAGAUUGGCUAUAUGACCUAGGCGUCAUACCAAAAAAAGCUGUUACUUACUUCCAAAAUUUAUAUGGUGAAAUGCCAAGCAGAGUGGGAGAGCUUCCUCCAAGUCAAUUUCCUCCUCUAGAGCAUAAUGACUCUAUUUUUCUUGGAAAAGAGGUCAUGAAUGAAGAAAUCAAAUCAGCACUCUUUGACAUGGCACCCAGAAGCGAUGGGUAUCACGCUUUUUUCUUUCAAAACCAGUGGAACAAUAUAAGAGGAACAGUAUGUGAUUGGGUCAAAAAGGUGUUCAACGGACGUCCCAUCGACCAAGAACUCAACAAUACUCUACUUGUCCUAAUCCCAAAGAUUGCUCAAACCGAAGAAAUAUCUCAAUUCAGACCAAUAAACCUUUGUAACGUCCUUUAAAAAUUAGUCAUGAAAGUAAUAGCCAAUAAAUUUAAAAGAGUUUUCUCUAAAAUCAUCUCACAAGAACAAGCAGGAUUCAUCGCCGAAAGAAACAUCUCAGACAAUGUCAUCAUAGCCUAAGAGGUCAUUUAUUCGAUGCGUGGAAAAAAUAAGAAAUGGAUGUCGAUCAAAAUUGAUUUAGAAAAAGCUCAUGAUAGAGUCCGAUAAGACUUCAUUGACAAAUCUCUUCAAGAUGCCAGAAUACCAAAUUACCUUCAAAAAGUAAUUAUGUCAGCCAUUACAACGGCCACCAUGCAAGUCUUAUGGAACGGAGUCCCCACUGAAAAAUUCAAACCUACAAGAGGAAUAAGGCAAUGUUGCCCUUUAUCACCUUACUUAUUCAUAUUAUGCAUGGAAUGGUUAGGGCAUAGCUUCCAAACUUCCAUAGCCUCAAGAGACUGACUCCCUAUUAAGUUAUCCAAGAAUGGACCAAUUUUGUCACACCUAUUCUUUGUAGAUGAUUUGGUGAUUUUUUUCAAAAGCAGAUAUCAAGCAUGGCAUACUACUAAAGAAUAUCCUUGAACAGUUAUGUAAUUUCUCAGGACACUGUGUCAAUACAAGGAAAACCAAUAUAUUUUUUUCAAAAGGCGUAGCAGACGACUUAAGUGAUAGAAUAUGUAGAAUCUUGGGGUACCAGAAAGUACACGAAUUAGGCAAAUACUUAGUGUAACAGUCCGUUUUCAGUGAAAUUGGAAUAGUGGUUUCGAGACCACAAAUAAGAGUCCAAAGAAAAUAUUAUUUUAAUAUUAUUUUAUGGUCUGCAUUAUGUUAAAAAUGUCGUAUGAAAAUUUUGUUAAGAAAAUUUUACCGAUUACAUGUUUAAUUGAUAAAAGGACCAAAUUGCAUAAAAUGCAAAAGUUGAGUUCUAGUAGCUAUAUGUAUCAAAUAGCUAUGGAAUUCAAAGUUUGAGGUCCUUAUAUGGUAAAUAGGCCAUUAAGAGAAGUUAGUAGAUAAGGAUGAUGAUUCAUCCAUGGAAAUUUAAUUAAAGAAAAUGAUGAAAUUAGAAAUAAAAGAUAUUAAAAGAUGAUAAUUGAUUAAAUGAUGAAAAUAUCAUCUUUUUCAUCAUCUUUCCCAAAUUUUUUUUAUGAAAACUCUAGCUAAGAGAAAAGAGUUCAAGCAAGCUUACUUGGCUUAAUUGGGUAGGUAUUCAAGUCCCGUUUUAGUAAUUUUUAUAUUUUCGAGAUCGUAAUUACCUAAUCUAGCUAUCUUGAGGAUUUAUUUGCAAAGUUAUUGAGGUAUUAAAAUUUUUCCAUGGAUGAAUAUAGAUGAAUUGUGAAGUUUUAUGGUAGAAAAAGAAAGGUUGUUGAUAGAUAAACAACUUUUGUUAAAGGAAUUUUGAUGAAAAUGUGAUUUAGGGAUUAAAUUGUAAAGGUGUAAAAUUCAAGGAAAUUUUUGAAUUUUAUAAAUUACAUGGGCUGUAAAUGUUAAAUGAAAAAUUCGGCUAGGAUUGGAAUAAGGAUUAAAUUGCAUGAAUUUUAUUUUCCGAGCUUAGGGACGAAAUUGGAAUUAAUUAAAAGAAUAGGGACAAAAUGGUACUUUUUCCUAAGAUGUAAGUUGGAUUGAAUUGAAUAUGAUAUGUGUUAAAUUGAUAUUAAAUUCAUUUAUAUAGAUCUGAAAAGAUCAAAUAAAGAGUUAGAUCGAGGAAAAGAAAAAGUAUCGGAUUAGUAGAUCUCCGUAUACGAACAAGUGACGAGAUAAGUUUGUAUAAUUAGAAUCAAACUUUCAUUUAUGUGCAAUUGUAUGAAAUGAAUAUGUAUAUAUAUAUGUGAAUUGAAUGGUUAAAAUAAAUGAUAUUGAAUUGCUUAAUUUGAAGUGUAUUGAGUAAUACCGAGCCCUGUUUGAACUAUAGAAAAUCGUAGGAUACGAGUGACAUUUCACUAGGGUUACCGUUUUGGUCGAGCUCCUGUAUUUGUUACGGACUCACCACAGCUUGUAUGAGCUUACCGAUAUAUCAGCUCUUAUGAGCUUAUUGUUUCAGCUCGAUAGAGCUUAUCAUUCUUCAGCUCGGAAUGAGCUUACCGAUCAAGGCUCGAAAGAGUGAAAAUGAUAAUGAAUUGACGGAUUACCGAUUAAGGCACAUAGUGUGUGUCACUCGAGUAUCCUUUGAUGUUUCAUUAGGUUCAACAUGCAUUAUACUGUUACCUAUUAUAUGAUUGAGAAUGAGACGAAAUAUGAUAUGUGUUAUAAGGACGUAUGAAAUUGGGAGCGAAAUUAUAUGAAAUGUAUGAAAGAAAUCAUGAAAGAGUAAAAUUUGCAAUAAAACAGUUUUAGACAAUAGUAGUUGUAUAAUUUUGAAAAAUCACUAACAAUUGUGGGAAUCGCAUUAGAGGUUGAAUAAAGCAUGAAAUUAAAGCUUAUUGAGUCUAGUUUCACAUAGAAGAAACGGUGUAAGCAAAAAAAUCUCGUAUUUUGAAUUUUUGUGAGAUAAGGUCAGAAUGAUUUCAGAAUCCCCUAUUCUGACUUUGGAAAAUCAUCAAAAAUUUUAUAAAAAUAAUUAUGGGUUAGAAUUUACAUGAUUAAAAUUCUUAAUGAGUCUAUUUUCAAUAGAAACAAAUGAGAAUAUCAUCUGAAUCCCGUAUUAAGAGAUAAUUAAUUUUUAGAAAAGAAGGGUCGGAACUGUCAUACAGCAGAAUAGAGACGACUUUGAAGAAUUAACUGUACUUAUUGGCUAAACCAAAAAUUCUAAAAAUUUUAUGGUAAGAAGAUAUGUGAGCUUAGUUUCAGAAAAAUCAAGCGGAUCUUAAUUUGGAGUUCCGUAGCGCAAGAUAUAAAUAUUUUAGUGACUAUGACUCGAGUAGACUACUUGACUUGAACAUGAGUAAAUAGUGGAACUAUGUGAAAUUUUGAUUGUAUUAUCUUGAGUUAAUGUUGUGAGGAUUAGUAAAAACAUGUUAACAGAUUGCUUACUAUUUACAUAUCAACUUGCUAAGCUUUAAUGCUUACUCAAUUUAUUUCUUCGUGUUUUAUAGAGGUUUGUUAGCUAGCUCAAUUCGGACGACGUUGGAGAUAAGCAUCACACUAUCCAGUCGACUUCUCGAUACUUUUGAACUCAUGGAAGUUGUGUAAAUAUGGCAUGUAUAGGCUAGUUUAUGGGAAUAUGUUUUUGGUUACUUUAGCUUAUUGUAUAGUUAUGUGUUUUGAUGUUCUUAAGCCAUGAGAUUUGGCUUAGUUGUUAAAAUGGUCAAAUGUGUAUAAGAUGAUAUUUGUUAAAUGUUUGAUGAAUUACUGAUCUGAACUGAGUUGAAAGUCCAGUAAUGCCUCUUAACCUAUUCCGGCGACAGUUAUGGGUUAGGGGUGUUACAAUUAGGAAUCCCUUUGCACCACAAAAGAAUCUCCAAACCUACGGUGCAAUUUUUGGUUGAAAAGGUACGAACAAAAUUAUGCAAUUGGGACGCAAAGUAGUUAUCCAUGGCAGGUCGAUUUACCCUUGUACAAUAGGUCCUAUUAACCAUUCCUAAUUAUUUCAUGCAGUCCAUGAAAAUUCCAAAAGGGGUGUGUUAAUGAAAUUGAACGCCUAGCAAGAUAAUUCAUUUAGGGGUCCAACACGAGAGGUAGAAAGUUGACACUUGUUGAUUGGGUGACAAUAUGUCAACCUCGUGUCUGCGAUGGACUCGGUCUACAGAGGCUACAAGACCAAAAUAAAUCUUUCUUAUUAAAACUAGGUAUCAAUCUCAUUACCAACCAAAAUGCCUUAUAGAUGUGCGUGCUAUGAUUAAAGUAUGGAAUGAAAGAAACCCUACCAAAGAGUAUAGAACAAAGAAGCUAUUCUGCACUAUAGAAAGCAAUUGGGAAGAUUUGGCUCCUAUUAAAAGAAAAUCUAUGUUGGUCAGUUGGAUCUGAAGCGGAAAUCUGUUAUUGGAAAGACAACUAGAUUCCUACAGUUGGGUUGUUGUUCAGACACGUUCAAAAUCCAAAUAGAACAAUAAAUGAUUGCAUGCUUAAAGGCAUGAUAACAAAAGAAGGGGUCUGGAACCUAAAAGUAUUUGGAGAAAACCUAGAUGAAAAAAUAAUACAAGAAAUUAUUGACAUACCUCCUUCACACCACUUAGCAGGGCCCGAUAAAAUCAGAUGGAUGUCUGCCUCUACUGGGAAAUUCUUGAUCAAGAAUGCAUAUCAAGACAAAACAUUCAUGGAAUUCUCGAGAUGAUAGAUGGAAGGAAAUUUGGAAAUAUCAAGGUCCUCACAGUAUUCGGUUCUUCCUAUGGUUAGUUUGUAAACAACGGUUGCUCACAAAUUUAGAAAGAACAGAUAGAGAGGACUCAGCCAUACCACAUCCUGCCCGGUUUGUCAACACAGCACAAAAGACAUCUUACACACACUCAAAGACUACCCAACAGCUAGAGAAGUUCGGUUGAACAUAGUCCCUUUUAACUGGCAAUCUCAAUUCUUUUCAAGAAAUAUUACUGAAUGGGUUGAGGAAAAUUUAAAACACCUUGAGUGGCUGCCACGGGUUAAAAUUCACAGGCCUACCCUUUUUGGGUUAGUAGCAUGGCGUAUAUGGAAGAACAGAAAUCUAUUCGUUUUUCAAGGUUUGACAUGGAGUUUAAUAGAGACCACCAAGAUAUUUGUUUGUUGGGCAAGACAGUACACCAAUUCUCAUGUGUGGGAUCCGUCUAUACCUUUAAAUGACGAAACCGAGCAAAACUUAGGAACAUCUGUCGAGUAAAGAAGCUGAUUUAGGCUUUGUUUUCUUUUCUUAGUUUAACUUAUUUUUUACAGCAAAAAAAGAAGAAGAAAAAACAGACUUAUUAAUCCACCCUUACAAAAAUGCCUACUAAGUAUUCAUAAUUUGUAUGGUAUUUAUUUUGUGGCCAGUAUUAUGAAAUCCUAUAGGUUCAAAUAAGAAAAAGGAAACAUGGAUACUCCUAUUCACACCUAAAAGCAUGGUAUUAUUAAAUGAGAUGGGCAGACAUUGAGUUUUAAAUUCUGGGUGAAAUUUGAAUUUCCAAAUAAUUCUGAAAGCAAAAUGUCAGUCACAAUCCUGGUAAAAUUACUCAUAAUGUUGUAAUAUAUAUGGUCCCUUACUAUUCAUUCCAGCCAUUCGCCAUUUCUCCACCUCUAUAAAUGCUUCAACUUAAACACUCUCUUCAUUACCAAGCUUUUCUGAUUGAUAACAUUUGUAAAACACCAGCAAUAAACAAGGCUUUGAGAUAUGAAAUACAUACAUAUUAUGUAUGUAAAAAGACUGAGUUUGUAUUUCAAACCCUUGGUUUUGUUGCUGCUGUUGUUUUGGAGUUGUGCAUGAGCAUAUUAUUAUUAUUGGAAUGGAAUUUGUGUUUUUUGUAUGUUUAUAGUAUAGAUUAUGUAAAAUGGUAAUGUUUGAUUGGAGAAGUCUUGGUAACAAAUUUAAAUGAAAAAAAAAACAUCUAAAAUGUCGUGGUGGACUUUAAAAAUGAUACAAAAUUACCAACUUCGUAUCAGUUAAAGAACUGACAUCCUAUGAUUCAGCCCCUAAAAUAGAUCUCAUCCCAAGUUUGGGAAGUUUCAUAUUAGAACCCAAAACGGAAAAAAAACAGGGAUUAUUGGUUUUGGUUAAUCUAAGACAAGAAUGUGUGGAUUAAAUCUGGGUUUCAUUGUGAUAAUGAUAGGAUUAGUGGUGGAAACAGAGAUAGGGGAAUCGAUGAGAUUUGAGCUGGAAUCUGGGAAAACCAAAUGCAUUGCAGAAGACAUAAAGGCAAAUGCAAUGACGGUUGGGAAAUACAGCAUUGUGAAUCCAAGUGAAGGUCAACCUUUUCCUGAUUCUCAUAAACUGGUAGUCAGGGUAUGUUGUAAACAAUUUUGAUGAUUUUUAUGUUAAAUGUUUCUGUGUUUGGGAAAUUAAAUAAAUGAUGAAAUAGGUGAGUUCAUCAAAGGGGAACAAUUAUCACCUAGGAGAUCAAGUGGAUUCAGGUACAUUUGGAUUUUUAGCGACAGAGAGUGGGGAUUACACCACUUGUUUUUGGGCAAAUAAACACAAACCUCCUAUCAAGAUGACCAUUGAUUUCGAUUGGAAAAGUGGUGUUGCUGCUAAGGAUUGGUCCAAGAUUGCUAAGAAAGGCCAGGUUGAAGUAUGUCUUUCCUAACUCUUCUCAUUAUCUAUUAUAGUUUUUCAUUUUCUUGAGUUUCUGCAUUUCUAAAGAUCAUUUGUUUGAGAAUGAAUGUCAAAUACGUCUUAGACACCGCUAAUGACUUAUUGGUUUCAUUUGAUGCUAGACAAUGGAAAUUGAGUUGAAGAAACUGUAUGACGCAGUCGCAGCCAUUCAUGAAGAGAUGUUCUAUCUUCGUGAGAGGUAUGAAACAAUCAUUGCUGUUAUUAUAGCUGUGAAUUCAUGACUACCCUAGUUGAGGACGAAGAUAGUUUAGGAUCUGGAUAACAUGAUCAUAGGCUUGGAUUCCAUUUUUUCUUAUUCAACUUGUAUGUUUUACAGGGAGGAAGAAAUGCAGGAGCUAAACAAAGAAACAAAUUCAAAAAUGGCUACUUUCAGUUUCUUUUCGCUGCUUCUUUGCUUGUCUGUGGCUGGCUUGCAGAUAUGGCAUCUAAAGUCAUUUUUUGAGAGGAAGAAGCUCCUCUAGUUUUCCUUCUCUUCCCUUACUAAGGCUCGAUUUUGGAUUCAAACAGAGCCAUGUUGAGGUGCGAUCCCCAGAAAUUAAAUGAAAAUAGACUUAGUUAUCAAUUUAACAAUGGUGGCUUCCGUUUCUAUACACUUCUAAAAGUUUCACUAAUGUCAAAAUAAGCUUUGGCCACUAUCGUUGGCAUGUUUUGUCAAAAUAUUCCUAAUUGUAUUUUCAUAUGUUUGUUUACUAAGAGGUUUAAUGAAUAAAUUCAAGGUUUUAAUCUUUCAUAUGUUUGUUUACGGAGAGGUUUUUCUAUUGAGUUAAUUUUUUUUAGAUAAUUACAUUUAUUUUCUUUAAAUUAAGAGUUAUUUUUUAAUUUCAUGUAUUAUUUAUUUAUUUCAUUAUUUUUCACAUGUAAUUGUCUUAUAGGGUUAUUUAAGUAAUAAAUUACAUCUCAUUAAAACUAUUCCACAUAAGGGUGAGCAUUCGAUCGAAUCGAAAAUUUUCGAGUUGAUCGAGUUUUCGAAUCUCAUUUUAUCAUUCUAACUUUGUUUGAAGUUUUCUCGAAUCGAGUCGAGUGAGAUGGAAUUCGAAUUGAAUCGAAUCGGAUAUAUUUGUUCAAGUUAAAUUUUAAAAAAUAAUUUUAGGUCCUUAUAACCACUGUCACCCAUCGUAAUAAAAUUUGUCCACCUUAAUCAAAUUUUUUAUUAACUUUCAUCACCUCAUAAUUUAUUUAUUAAUUUUUUAUAUACUGGUUAGCUUCUUUGCUUGCUUAGUUGUUACAAUUAUUUUCAGAUUAUUGUCACUAUGUAUUUUGGAAUUAAAAAAUACAUUAAAUGUAAAAAUAUGAUUUUUUUAAUAAAAUUUAUUUUAAAAAUAAAAUAUGAAAUUAAUACCAAUAUAAAAUUUUAACACGAAUAUUUUAUGGCAUAAUUAAUAAUUCAAUUUUAAUAUAAAUAUUCAAUAUGACUAAACAAUUCAAUAAUAUAAAUAAUAUAAAAUGUGAAAUUUAAUUUAAUAAUAUAAAUAGUAGAUAUAAAUAAAAUUAUUACUAUUUAUGUUUAGUGGUUUUUUUUUGGAUAAUUUUGAUUUUUUAUUUGAGAGUAAAGGCUGAGAAAUAAAAGUUUUGGGGGGAAAUAAAAAGUUUUGGGGAAUAAAAGUUUGAGGGAAAGUAAAUAGGGGGAGUAAAAUUUUGAAAGGAAAAUAUUAAAAAAAAAUUGGAGGGGUGAGGGUUUGAGGUAGAUGAGAGGUGGGAUGGGAAGGGAAUAAAAGUUUUAGGGGAAAAGUGGGAGGGAGUAAAAAUUUUGGGGGAAAAUAAAAGGUUUUGAAGGUUUUGGGGGGUAAAAUUGAGAAAAAGUAAAUGGGAGAGUAAAAUUUUGGUGGGAAAUGGAUUUUGGGUAGAUUGGGGGGUUGGGAGGGGAGGGGAGGGGAGUAAAAGUUUUGGGGAGAAAGUGGGAAGGAGUAAAAGUUUUGAGGGAAAAGUAAAAAGGUUUGGGAGAUUGGGGUAAAAAUGUAAAAUAUUAUAGUUUGAUAUUCGAAUUCGAAAACUCAACUCGAUUCGAACUCGAAAUUUGAAAAAAAAAAUUCGAGUUGAUUCGAAUAACUCAAUUCGUUUAACUCGAAAUUCGAAUUUUUUUCGAUUUUUUCGAGCCGAAUCGAGUUUUGGUCACCCCUAAUUCCACAUAUGAAGUUCCACAUCAUCCCGUUAAUUUUUUUAAUGGUACUUUUAUUAAACUUGUUAGAAAAAGCAAUUUGGAAAAAGAACCAAAAGUUGAUGACUAAAAAAAGCUCAAAAAUAUAGUUAGAGUCAUUUUGACAAAUUAUGCAAACGUUAGUGGCCAAAUUUAUCAUUAAGCCUAUCAAAUACUAAGUCGUAUCUAUACACUUCAAUAUAAACUAACGUAACACGUGGCACAUCAACCAUUUUUUUCUUUUCUUUUUGCAUUUUACAAAAAAGGUUUAAUGUCAGUUUUAAUCCCUCUAAUAUGUCUAAAUUUAAUAUUUAAUUUAUUGUUUUAAUUUUAAUUUGAUCUUACAUUUUUAUAUGUUAUUAAUUAGUCCAAAUAGGUAAUAACCUUAAUUUUGAUUAAAACAUCUUGUGGUUAUAUAUAAUUUUUUACCCUAAGAGGUUUAGAGUUUGACACAAGGCUCCACAUUUCUUUUAAGUCGUUUUUUUUUACAUUAUAAGACAAUUGUCAAAUUUUAAUUUUUACCUCUAAACUAUUAUUUUCUAUAGUUUUGGUGAAGAGACGAGAAGGAGGAAGAAAAAAGUGUUUUUUUGUUUUAUUUUAAUUCCUUUAAUACUUAGAUUAAAUUAUAGCUCCCUUUUUAUGGCUAUUCACAUAUGGUUAAAAUAUGUAAUAAGUCCCAAUAUUCUUUAUAAAUUUGAAAUUUACUCUCUAUAUUUUUAUUUUCAAAAAUUUAAUUCUUUUACUUUUCAUAUUACAAAAAUUUGUUGGUGUGAUAUUUUAAAAUUAAAAAAAAAUACUUACUUGCUAGCCAUGGAACUAAAAAAUGAUAUUCUAAUGAACUUAAAUUUAAUAAAAUAAUUUAACAGUAUUGGCAAUUAAACUUGAAUUUUUAAAUUUGAAAAGCAAUGGGACUAAAUUCUUAAAAAUAAAAGUAUAGGGAUUAAAUUCCAACUUUUUGAAGAGUAUAGGGACUUAUGGAACAUUUAACCUUCACAUAUUUAUGUUAUAUUUGUAUUUUUUUAUCCUAAUAAUAUUUAAAACUAGUACGCUUUCGGCCCACACUUUGUGUUAGGUUUAUUAUCUAUUUGUGUCAAAUUAUACAGCAAAAAAAUCGAAUGUUAAAAUAUGUUCUAUGUCCCUAUAUACUUUCUACAUUUGGAAUUUAGACUCUCUACUUUUAAUUUUCAAGAAUAUAGUGCUCUACCUUUUGAAUUUAAAAAUUCAAGUCCAGUUCUUAUCGCCAUUAAAAUUCUUCUAUUAAAUUCUUCGGCAUGACAUUUUGAAAUUUGAAAAACAAAAUGUUUGAAACUCUUAUAACAAUAAAAAAUAAUGUUGAAAAUAUUGAUUAGGAUUUUUUCCCCUAAAAACACUCAUUUGAAUUCAUUAAGAUGAUUUUUUUUUUUGUUGAAAUAGUUUUCAUAUGAAAAAUUGAUGCCAUUAUUUUGAUUGAAUAUUUAAAAAUAUUAACUUAGACUAAUUAAUGGCACUAUAAAAGUAGAGGGACCAAAUAAUGUUGAAAAUUAAAAUAUAUAAAUUAAAUCUUAAGUUUCAACAUAGAUUAGAGGUCAAAAUUAAAAUUUGAGAAUUAUCUUAUAAUAUAAAAAAGUGACAUAAACCUAAAAGAAAUGCGGAGCCAUGUGUCAACCUCUAAUACUUUUGGGUAAAAAAUUAUAUAUAACCAAGAAAUGUUUUAAUCAAAAAAUUAACGUUAUUACCUAUUUGGACUAAUUAAUAACAUUAUAAAAAUAUAAGACCAAAUUAAAAUUAAAAUAAUAAAUUAAUUAUUAAAUUUAGGCAUAUUAGAGGUAUUGAAACUUAUAUUUAACCUUUUUGUAAAAUACAAAAAAAAGGAAAAAUGGUUGAUGUGUCACGUGCUACCUUUUUUUUAUAUAUAAGUGUAUAGAUAUGGCUUAGUAUUUGAUAUCAAUGAAACUUUUAUAUAUGUGUAGAUAUGGCUUAGUAUUUAAUAUCAAUAAAACUUUUAUAUAUGUGUUGAUGUGUCACGUGCUACCUUCUUUUUAUAUAUAAGUGUCACCUUACUUUUAUAUAUAAGUGUAUAGAUAUGGCUUAGUAUUUGAUAUCAAUAAAACUUUUAUAUAUACGUGCAUGGAAGCUAAGACUUAAAGUCAUAUUUGCUUUUAUCCAUCAAAAUUUGUGAAAGCAAAUACGACUCUAGGUCUUGGCUUCCAUGCACGACAAAGGUACAUUGUAUUGUUGCCUGAACUUGUAAUGUUGCAAUAAAGGAAUGUAAACCCGCUGUCAUCCUCCACUCUUUCCCUCACUUGUAUUGUGAUCACACCGAAUAUUUUCCAAUCGAAUGAAUCGUGGUGUUCUGCAUAAAAAAAAAAAAACAUACAUCAUUGCUGUAAUAAAUGGAUAUCCUUUAAGAUAGUACAAGGACUAAAUCCCUGAUUUGAGGAUAAUAGAGGGACCUAAACCAUAAUAUAACCAAGAAAAGGAAAAAAAAAUUACCAAAUAAAUGGAUUUGCCAUUUCCGAAAAUGAAAUCAACACCUUCAAUGUAGGAGUCUUUGAAGAAAUGCAUGCCCCUAUCGUCGCACAAUGCAUCUUGAAACCCUAUGAACUUGCAGUUAUAGAAGGUUGCGUUGUCCCCUGAAAUGCUCAUGGCGAUUGUCUAUACCAAGAUUUUUGUACCAUUCGGUAUCUUAGCUGAAUUUUGUAACAAAAACAAGCCAUGAAAGGACCAAGAAACUUUCCCAAGAUUCAAUAACAAACCUAAUAAUAUAAAGCUCAAGUCAUUUAUAGUACUAUAAAUUAAUACGAGAAAAGUUGUAAUAAAUGGAAACAUUAUCACAAAGGCAAUGUUGGCAGCCACAAAGUUGUCACUUUCCACCGCCACUGUCACACAAUUCAUCGUACCAAACUGCUUCGCCGUCCCAUUAGACACUAUCUUGGGCAUAUCCAGUGGUAGAGGUGAGCAUUUCAUCGAAUCGAAUGAAAAAAAUUCGAGUUAAUUAAGUUGACGAGUCAUAUUUUAUCAUCCUAACUCAAUUUGAAAUUUUUUCGAAUCAAGUCAAGUGAAAUUAAAUUCAAGUCAAGUCGAAUCGAAUCGAAUCGAAUCGAAUCGAGUGAAAUUGUUUGAGUUAAAUUAAAAAAAUUAAACAUGUCGAAAUAAAAUAUUUUUACAGUAUAACUAAUUCCAUGUUAGAGCACAUAAAUUUGAAAUAUUUUUCAAAGAAAAAAAAAGAUACUUUAAUAUGAUAAACUUGAACUAAGAUGGAUCCAAAAGGGUGCAAUUGAAGCCAUUAAUGGUGGUGGCUUCUCUUUCAAUACGCAUAUAUAAAAAGAAGGUAAGAUGGGCACAUCAACCAAUUUUUCUAUUUUUUACAUUUUACAAAAAUGUUAAAUAUGAAUUUUAAUUCAUCUAAUAUGUCUAAAUUUAAUAUUUAAUUUUAAUUUGGUCUUAUAUUUUUAUAAUGUGAUUAAUUAGUCCAAAUAGGUAAUAACGUUAAUUUUUUGAUUAAAACAUUUCGUGGUUAUUGUAAUAGUCUGUUUUUUAGUAGUUUCGGGAACAGUGAUUUCGGGGUCACAAAUCUAACAUGUGAGUCCAUAAAUAUUAUUAUUUAAUAUUUACGAGUAAUAUAUGGUGUAAUGAUAAAAUUUGAUUUAAUGAUUUAUGUUAAAUGAAAGAAUAAUUAGGUUUGCGUGGUAAGAUCCUAAAAUCAAGUGGUUUUAGAAAGUAAGGUAUCGAGACCUCAUUUCUAUAAACUGAGAUCAUAAAUAUUUUUAUUAUAUAUUUACGGAGCAAUUAUAUAAAUAUAUUGAAAAUUUGUUCAGAAAUUUUGAUGUUUGGUUGUUAAUUAACAUUCUGAGCGGGCUUUAGGCCCACUGGAUAUGUGUUUCACUCUAGGUCGCCGAGCACCUUGGGCCUUCAACGAGCACCUUUGGUAUAUGCGGAUUGGGGCCGCGAUCCUUACUCGAUUUGUGCGAUCUGGAUCCGCGAGCUAGAUCAGCGAACUCCCUUGCUGUCCUCUGGUGGUUCGCCUUGCACUCAAUUGUUUGGUGGGACCUAUUUAGGUCAUGGGCAGUUGACCUGGGUCUUAUCUAGGACUCGGGUUGGUUAUCAUUGAUGUAUAACAAGAUUUAAUUUAUAUACUUUAAUUUUCGACAUUAUUUGGUCCCUCUAUUUUUAUAGUGCCAUUAAUAAGUCCAAAUAGUUAAUAUUUUUAAAUAUUUCAAUAAAAAUAAUGGCAUCAAUUUUUCACAAUAAAACUAUUUCAACAGAAAAAAAUUAUUUCAUCUUGACGACUUCGAAUGAGUGGUUUUAGGAGAAAAAUCCUAAUAAAUAAUUUCAACAUUAUUUUUGUUGUUAUAUGACUAUAAUUUUUUUUUAAAAUUUCAAAAUGUCUCAUAAGAGAAUUUAAUAGAAGAAUUUUAAUGGUGGUAAGAACUGGACCUGAAUUUUUAAAUUCAAAAGGUAGAGGACUAUAUUCUUAAAAAAUAAAAGUAAAGAGACUAAAUUUCAAAUGUAGAAAGCAUAUAGGGGCAUAGAGCAUAUUUGAACAUUCAAAUUGUUUACUCUAUAAUUUGACACAAAUAGAUAAUGAACCUAACACAAAGCGUGGGCUGAAACCAUACUAGUUUUAAAUAUUAUAAGGAUAAAAAAAAUACAAAUAUAACAUAAAUAUGUGAAGGUUAAAUGUUCCAUAAGUCCCUAUACUCUUCAAAAAUUUAGAAUUUAACCCCUGUACUUUUAUUUCUAAGAAUUUAGUCCCUUUGCUUUUCAAAUUAAAAAAUUCAAGUUCAAUUGUUAAUAUUGUUAAAAUUAUGUUAUUUAGGUUCAUUAGAAUAUCCUUUUUAAUUCCAUGGCUACCAAGUGAGUAUUUUUUUUUUUAAUUUUAAAAUAUCACACCAACAAAUUUAACAAAAAAAAAGUUAAUAAUUGGAACUGAAUUUUGCAAUUUGAAAAAUAUAAAGGAUUAAAUUGUUGAAAAUAAAAGUAUAAAGAUUAAAUUUCAAAUUUAUAAAGAGUAUAAGGAAGGUGAUAAUUUCGUUAUUCUAGGGUGCACCUAUGCCUUAAUAUUAUUGUUCCUUCCAGAAAAAAAGUAUGG
rnacentral:lncRNA from 1 species